rnacentral:lncRNA from 1 species
AAUUAAAUUGACAUGGUCAAAAUAUAAAAUUUAAGUGACCAAAAUUACCACAAAAGACAUUGGGGCAAAAGAAGAAAAUUCGGUCCAAUUAGAAGUGCAGCAGGCUGAAUGUGCGACAAAGUUAGCAAGGGAAUUAUUUAAUUUCCUUUUUAGGGUGGUGACCGACUCUAAUUAAAGCAAGGGGACCCCGUUUCAGCCUUGAGCAGUAAAAUUGAAGUGAAACUCUAGUGAGCUGAAGCUAUUUUUGUGCGACGGGAUAAGAAAAGGGAGCAUAUCAGAUUUUUUGAUUUGCUGGAGGCUAUUAUUUUUCCAUAAAAAGAGGCGUUCAGCAGCUUAAAAGAGGGUGGUCAAAAAUAGAAAAAGAAGAAGAGCAGAGGGGCGUGGCACUCGAGCAAGAAAAAGAAAAGUUCUCUAAUUGCACCAGCAAGUGACGAUCAAGCAGCUGGAAUAGCCGUCAAAAUUUCAGCUAGCUGAGAGGAGGGAAGCUCGACAAUUUGAGAAGUUUUCUUUUCCAAGAUUCUGUUCGUAAUUCAUGUUGUUUAUAAUUGAUUCUUGUUUUGUUUUACUCUCUAUGAGUGGCUAAAUUACUUAAGCUUAGCUAGACACUUAUGAAACCGAGCACAAGGGAUUUGACGAUUUAUUUUGUUUUAAAUUCAAAUUCGGUAUUCUUGAAUUGUUUGUUUUAUCGCUCAAGGAAUUUUUCUAAAUCAAUUGGAUUGAUCACCUAUUUAAUUUAGGAAUUUUCUUAUAAUCAUCUAAGUGCAAAUUGAGUAAUCGAAUUUCUUAAUUAAACUUAGAAUUGGUGAUGGCUAAUUGGCCUGCAACUAAUUAAAACAACUACGGAUUUAAUUUUAGAAGCCGCUGGAGGAUUUUCUUUGGUUAAUGCUAGGUGAAGUCUCUAAAAUACUAAAUGCACCUUUAAUUAGUCAACAAAGAAAUAAUUAAAGGCAGGUUUUCAGUUAUGAAUGUUCUCUAAAAAUUUACUGGGGAUAGGAAGUCGCUUCGUAAGUGAUUUUUUUUCAGCCUUACUGCCGAAUUAGUCUACUAGGAUAAUUUAAGGUCGCAAAAUACUUGUGCUUGGCGGAUUAAGGAGUCAAUAACUAAGCAUUCUUUCUCUUUAUUUUGGUAAUUUUUCAGCAUUCAUAAUUAAAGCUAAAACUUGUUCGUUACUUUAGGUUAUUUUUAGCAAACGUAGAAGCAUAAACCCCCCAUUUUUCUUUCUUGCAUGCGUUUUACAUCACUUUAAUUUCAACUCUCUUCAAAUAGAUUUAACGCGAGCUUUUUCGUGGGACGAUUCCCUAUUUACUCUAUAUUACCAGUUACUGUUGGUUGAAUAGCGGAUAAAAUUCGGUAGUCAUAACGACAGCUACCAACAUUGCAAAUUAAUACACCACCUAUAAAUGAAAUAAAUUUGAUGCGAAGUUUACUUAAUCUUAUUUUCUUUGCAGUUUUAACACUAUUUACAACAUAAUAAAGACUUAUUUAUAGUGUUCAAUGAAUCAACUAAUGACAUGUUAUUGCUCAUAUAAACCUAAUUCAUGGGACCAUCAAUCACAUAGGUUGAGUUACGAUCAUUAUUGAUAUCACAAUUUGGUUGUAAUCCCAUUCCCCUAGAUAUUUUAUUUAUUAGUUUUGUCCCUAAAGGUUUAGUCAAAGAACUAACCAAAUUUGUUUAUGACUACAUCAUCUAUGAAUAAUGACUCUAUCUUUUUGUAGUUUCUUUAUCACACUAUGUCUUAGACGAAUAUAUCUACUUUUUUUACCAUCGAAAGUUUUAUUCCCUGUAAUAGCUAUUGGCAAUUGACUAUCACAAUGCAAAAACACAAAAGGUGCUACUUUUGUGCCCAACAAAAUACUUCUUGAGGAGUUUUUCAAACACUUAGUCUCAUUCCCAACAAACUCUAAAGCAAUAAAUUUUAACUCCAUGGUAGAUUUAAUUGUAAUAGCCCGUUUUUAGUGAAAUCGGAACAGUGGUUUCGGGACCACAAAUCUGAGUUCGGAAGAAGAAUUAUUUUAAUAUUAUUUCAUGGUCUGCAUUAUGAUUGAAAUAUCGUAUGAAAAUUUCAUAAAGAAAUUUUAUAGGUUACAUGUCUAAUUAGAUGGAAAGGACCAAAUUGCAUAAAAUGAAAAAGUUGAGUUCUAGUAGAUAUAGGUAUCAAAUAGCUAUGGAAUUCAAAAUUGGAGGUCCUUAUAUGGUUAAUAGACCAUUAAGAGGAGUUAGUAGAUAAAUAUGAUGAUUCAUCAAUGGAAAAUUAAAUAAAGAAAAGGACUAAAUUGGAAAGAUAAAAUAAUAAAAGAUGAUAUUUUAAUUAAAUAAGAAAUAUCAUCAUUUUAUAUCAUCUUUCCCCAGAUUAAAUACAUGGAAACCCUAGUUAAAAGAGCUUGAAGAUAGCAAACUUAUUUGGCUUAAUUGGAUAUGGAUAGACCAAAUGCGGAGUUAGAUCGAGGAAAAGAAAAAUUGUUGGAUUAGUAGAUUUUGCAUACACGAACAUUGUAACACCCCUAGCUCUUAUCCGUCGCCGGAUUAAGGUCACGAGGCAUUACCGACCAAAACACAACUUAUAACAAACUUUCAUUUUAAAUCAUGUACAAAGUUAUAAUAAUUCAUUUACAAUAAAAUUUCAAAUUCAAAUAGUAACCAUCAAAUUAAUCAUAUAAAUCACAUUCAAUCAUAUUAAACAUAUAACUAACAAAAUCAAAACAUAAUUAUUUAACUCUUUCACAUACACAAAUUAUGCUCCAGAAAUUUAAAUCACAUGUUCGAAUCAACUAGCCUGCCACAAGUCUUGUUACACAUGCUUAUUAAUUCCACUAUUUGAAUUAUACAUACGUCUCACUCAUGGCAUUCGACUUAUCAAAUUAUAUGACAGCUUAUUACACUACAAUUCCAUGCGCAUAGUAAUUUUACAGCAUAACUGAACAUACUUUUGAUGCUAUCCUAUUAUGCACACUUCACCUUAAAAACAAAAGCCAUACAAUAUAAGCCUUAUAAAUAUAUAACACGAAUCAUAUGCUCAACUCUCUAAUAGUAUUCAAAUACCUAAUAAAAUUAAACAUUUUAUUCAUAAUUCUAUAAACUCACAUCUUAAGCCAAAUAAAUUAUUAACUUACCACAUGGUAAAUUAUGCUUUCAAUGCCAUCUAUAUAUAUACACGCAUAGUCACCAUAUCAAUAUGAACCAUUAAGAAACCGAACCUAAACAACUAACCAUUCAAGCAUAAACAUGUGCACACUUUACCAUUCAUUUUAUCAUCAAUUCAGCUAGUAAGAUAAUUUAUAAAUUUAUAAACCCGUCUCAUUACAGUAAUAUUUAUCAACUAAACACCAUUGACAAUUCAAGCAUACUUAUAUCAUAUAUAAAUUAUCAAGCUUAGACCUCAUAUGCCAACCAUUCAAACAUCACCUAUUCGGUCAUUGGCACAACAUCUCAAUAAUUUAUACCAUUUCCAUCUCUCAAACUUAAGCUUAACACACUAUCUCAUAAUCUUAUAUCAAAACAAUAUAUCACUUAUAACUAAUGAAAUGACCAUUAUAAUUCGUACUUAAAAAUCAAAUUUACAAGCAAUCAUAUAUAUAUAUAUAACUUAGUUCAUAUAAACUUAUCAUGAUCAAAAUCACAACCAUCACCACAUUAACAUCAAAUAACCGAAUCAUAAAUAAAUAUAUCACACAUAUAUAUAUGAAGCAUACUUUCAAAAAGGAGCUUAUACCAUGACUAAAUAUUCACAACUAUUAGCAACAUAAUCAAGCCAUUUUCGCAUGGCUGUAUAAACACACUUCAAAACCAAGCAUAUCAAGCUAGACUAUACAUGCCAUAUGGUAUAAAUACAAGUUUUCUUUCAAGGUACCAAAAUAGAUAUCGAUAGUGUGAUGAUGUUCCUCAAUAAUCCUGAGCUCGAGCUGGCUUUCAAGAUCUAUAAAACAACGAAUAAACAUACAAAGUAAGCUUGGAAAGCUUAGUAAGCCAUAAGCAAAUAAAUUAACACAAGAACAUUCAUAAAUCAUUUCGAAACAACGAAACCUAACUAACUCCGUACAUAUAUAUAAUCCCAUUUCUCAUAAAGUUCACAUAAUCACUAUAAUCAUCAACACUUACCUUUUCUUUCGAAGUUUGUAUAAACUUAAUACUUACCUUAAUCGUUUAAAAUGAACUCACAUUCGGUCUUGCUAUGUCUUUGCCCGUAGAACCAUUCGGAAUCAAAAGGAUACGAGGAUAACUCAAAAAGCUCGUAAAAUGCCAACAUCCCAGACGUGGUAUUACAUGUAAUCAAAUAACGAUGCCACUGUCCCAGGCAGAGUCUUACACGUAAUCAUAUACGAUGCCAAUGUCCUAGACAUAGUCUUACGCGUAAAUCUCAAAUCGAUGCCAACGUCCCAGUCGUGGUCUUACACAAAGUCACAUAUCAGAAUCCUAUGGUUCGUACGGGGCUUUUGGAUGUCAUAAUUCAAUCGUAUCAAGCUCGUAAAGAAUUCUCCCAUGCAUAAAAUAAUUUGACAUUCACACAUAUAUUCAUUAAAAUUUAAUUCGACAUUUAUAAUACAUAUACAUUCAAUUUAACAACAUUAUUUACUUAUGAACUUACCUUGGACGAAGAUGAACCGACUGGAACGGCUAUUCGACAACUUUCGACUUCCCUCGAUCCAAAUCUAAUUUAUUUCUCUUUUGAUCUAAGUUAAUUCAAUUUUGACUUGUUUAAUAACAUAUUCACUCAAAUUCAUUCAGAAAUACAUAAUUUGGGCAUUUUCACUUUAGCCCCUAACAUUUCAUAUUUUCUUAAUUUAGUCCCUAUUUCAAAAUAACACAAAAUACACAAAAUUUCACUAAACCCAACUAUAAACGAAUUUUACUAAGGUUCAUAGCAGCCCAUUUAUUUCAUUUAUUUCACAUUUCAAUCACUAAAUUUACAAAUUUCACAAAUAAAUCCCUAAUUUGGAUUUUUAUCAAAUUACUUAACAAAAUUUAAUAAUCUAUCAACACAUAUUUAUUUUUCAUCAUCAAACAACAAAACCAUCAAGCUAUCAUCAAUGGCAACUCACAAAUUCAUCAACCAAUUCAAAAAUUAGGACACGAGCUAGCUAGAAUAAGAAACAACGAUCUCAAAAACGUAAAAAUUAUCAAAAACCGAAAAAAAAACAUACCUCAAUCAACACCUUCAAUGGCUGAAUGUACAAAAGUUUUUAAACCUCCUUUUUCUUUUCUUAAUUCAGUGAAAGAAAGAUGAACUAAUGCAUGGCUUUAUUUUAUGUUUUAUUAUAUUAACAUAUUUAACUAAAUUACAAAAUUAACCUUUAUGAAUUAAUUAGAAAACCAUAUAACAAAAACCCAUAACCGUCCACUACAUUGUUCCAUGGUCAAAUAUCCACUUAAGGACUUCACCUUUAAUUAAUUAAGGCAAUUUAACACUUUAACAAAUAGCAUGAUACUUUUUCAUUUUACACGAUUAAGUCUUUUUUUAAAAAUCGAGCACACAAAUGAUAAAAUUUUCACACGAAAUUUUAACACACAUAAAUUAACAUGUUGUAGACACCAAAAAUAAUAUUAAAAUAUUUUUUUGACUAGAAUUUUUGGUCUCGAAACCACUGUCCGACUAGGGUCUAAACUGGGUUGUUACAAACAUUGUCGAAGUAAGUUCGUGUAACUAAAUUGUAUAUUUAUAUGUUUGAAUUGAAUGUUAUGUAUGUGAAUGUAUAAUUGUCAUGAAUAAAAAUCAAUCACAUAUUCGACAAGUAUUAAGUCCUAUUUGAAUAAAUGAAAUUCGAUGGAUACAAGGUUCUCGGAUUGGUUGUGGUCCUGCAUGUGUUGCAGUUAUAUGUUUCUUGCGAGCUUCUCGUUAAUAGCUCUUCGGAGCAUCUCGAUUGGUUGUGAUCCUACAUGUGUUGUGGACACACCGCAGUUCUUUUGAGCGUCCUGAUAUAUGGCUCUUCAGAGCUUCCCGAUUAAAGGCUCUUUCAUGAGCUUCUCGAUUAAUUGGCUCUCCUAAGCUUCCCGAUACUGGCUCAUUUGAACUUUCCAAUAUUGGCUCAUAUAAGCUUCCCGUUACAUGGCUCAUAUAAGCUUCUCGUUAUAUGGCUCGAAAGAGCUUCUCGUUUAUGUGCUCGUAUGAGUAUUCCCGAAUACGAAUUGAUGAAUUUCAGAUUUGUGUACUUUGUGUGUACUACCCGUGUAUCCAUCGAUAUUUUAAAUGAUUCAACAAGUAAAAUCCUAACAUGAGAAAAUAAGAGUUCGAAAUGAAUGAUUACCUGUAUAUGCAUGACAUAUAUGGAAUUGAUGUAUGAACACAAGAAGUGAAAAUUAUGAACAUGGAACUUAAUAUUUGAUGAGCUCAUAUAUGAUUAUUGGUAUUCAUAUAAAAUACAUGACAAACAUGUUUAAUGAGAUUAUGUGUUUAGGUUAUUAGCCAAAUUGCUUUGGUUAUAUUAUGUAUGGUUACCUUAAAUGCAAAUGUAUGGUAAGUUAAUUUCUCGUUAUACGAACUUACUAAGCAUUAAAUGCUUACUCUGUUUCAUUUUCUCUGCCUUAUAGUACUCUGAAGCUUGUAAAGGUUGGAAGCUGGUCGGAGCCACAUCAUACUAUCCAUUGGCCCAUUUCGGUAUAUAUAGAAAACUAAUUUUGGUUAUAAUGACAUGUAUAGGGUAAUUUAGCCAAUGUUGGCUUUCAAAUAUUUUAUUGUAAAUAGCCAUUGAAAUGGCUUGAGCUGGACAUAUUUUGAUGUGUACAUGUAUGUGUGACUUUGUUGUGUUUAAUGUGGUUGAGUAAGGGAUAAUUUAUAAGUAUAAUAAUGUAUGGUUGAUAUAAUGUGAUUGGAGAAAUAUACAUAUUGUAACACCCUAAACCCGACUUAGAUGUUAUGACCGUAUUUGGUGUGUCACAUUGAAGUGUCUCUCAAAAUAUAGACUUGUUGAUAAAACUCGUUUCUUAAGUUUGAAAACCUCUUUAGUAAUGUUUAACGGAGCACUUAACCAAAUGUUUGCCUUAUUAACUGCUAUUAUUAUAUUAAGUUGAUUUAAAUCGCGGAAGCAUUUGAAAACUCUAACGUUUAAAGUUCAUAUAUUUGAAAACAGUGAUUAUUUUGAAAAUUCGUUUUCACCUAACUAGCAGUAUAAAAUAUGUAAGCAAAAGCCCAAUUAAAAUUUAAAGUAAAAUAAAAGCAAAUGUAAACAUUGAUAGUAGUUGUGCGGCCACCUCCGAGUCCCUCGCAGCCUCAAAUCGUCUAAGGUUGAGGAUUACCUGCACAGUUAAAAGGAGAGGGUGAGUUUACGAAACUCAAUGUGUAAUCCCCUACUAGCCAAUCACCAUGCAACAUGCAGAAUCAGUCUGGGCCUGAGCCCUAUACAGUAUCACUACAGUGUGGGCCUUAACCCAUUACAGUAAUAGUGUGGUCCUUAACCCAAUACAGUAAUCAAUACAAUGCAGUGAUGCAACCAAUCCCAAUCCAGCCAACACACCACUCUGUACCACCAACACACCAUGUAGGAAUAAAAUCGACCCACCCAGCCAACACACCAAUGUCGCAGUAAAGCUACCAGUAAUAGUGAUGCAGCAAAACUACCAGUAACAGUAAUGCAGCCAAGCUGCCAGUAACAGUAUAUGUGGCAAAGCCAGCAGUACAGUAUACUUCCCCUAUAUCAGAAUCCCAACCCAUGCAGUAUGUCAUGUCAUAUAUUAUACGUGUAUGCAGUAUGUCAUACUCAGUAGUAGUCAUAUAUAUGUAUCAUAGAGCAAAUCGGUCAUACACAUAUUUCAACUCCUAAGGGUAUAACAAUUAUUUUAUCUUAUGGGGGUAUUUUGGUCAUUUUACUCUUUGAGGGUAAUUCGAUCAUUUUACCUAUUUUUGGGUCUCGGUGCAGAUAUCGACCUCUCAAAAGAUCCGCAGUCGCCUCGAGCGACUUAGGUAACCUAAAUGGUCAUAACAGUAUAAAUGGGCCCAAGGCCCAUUACUCGGCCUAAGUGGGCCCACACACUCGUGCGGCCCAUUCAACCCAGAUUUUGCCAUGGCUAUGAGAUCUACAUAGCUCAGUCUAGUAUUUACCACAAAUCAUGGAUUUUAUCUGUGUGGGGCCCACGAGCCCAUUUCGGCCCAACGUGGCCCAUUACGGCCUAAGCCCAUGAAAAUGCUCAUAGAGGCCUCUACAGUUUAUCUCUCAUGAUUCACAGGUUUGGCUUUCCACAUGAGCGAUCUCACACUCAUGUGGCCUCAACGCCAUAUUUUGGCUUUUCGACUUUUGCCAUUCUACAGUUACAGUGGGGUGGUUACACACCUGAUGUGAUUUAGAGAUUCCCUUUGCUCCAAACAACUCUUAUUCUGAAAAUCAAUAAUCAUCGCACCCUUGGCUCCCAGGCAAUUUUCCAAUCAACCUCGACCACCUCCAGUUAGGAAUGGAAGUAAUGUAGGUUAGAGAAAGCGACGAAAACCUUAAAAAUCUCGCCGAUCUCCCAUCGAGAACAAUGAACAAAUGAGAUGAUAUAUAUCUCUCCACAACAAUAACCUCCCCAAAUCCCAAUAUUCUCUCCUCAAAUCUCUCCAAAUAUCCCUCCUCAAAUCUCUCUAUGACCAAUUCAAACUCCAUUUAACAGUAUUUCAAUCCAACUCUACCACCCACACGAAUUAGGCAGCAAAAUAAAUACUCCCUUUUUGAUGCGCCACCACUCGAACCUUAAACCCCAUGUACACUCCACACGCCCCUUACCACUAGACCAACAACUCCUUUGUAUCAUAUUUUAAUCACAAUAAUUUAAUAACCUACUAUCUAGAUCCAAAGAUUUUAUUCACUUAAAAUAAAAAUUUUGCAUAAGCCAAUGCUUGAACCCCUGACUUUUCAGACACUUUCAAACACUCCUAAAUCACUUAACCACUGAAGCAGACAUUCAUUUAUGUCACUUCCUUGCACAACUAAAUAUUUAUGUGCAGUCUCCUAACUAUUCCCUUAUUCAAAACCUAUUUCUUCUAGGCCCAAAAUUCGAGGUGUUACACAUAUAGGUUUAUAUGGUCAAUUAAGUAAGAUUGAAUACUUGGACAUAUGGGGUGUUAUGAUAUGUAUUAAUCUUGGUUUUGGCUUGAUUUAAAUGUCUUGUAUUGGUUAGUGAAAGUGUUGAAGUAGGUGGUAGACAAAUUGGGUGAGAAAAAUGGCCGUGGAAUUGGCCUAUUUUUGUCCACACGGGCAGAGACAAGGACGUGUGUCUCAGCAGUGUGUGACACAAGGCCUAGUACAUGGGCGUGUGAUCUGGCCAUGUGUCCCUUGCAUCUUAAAAAUUGAAAAACAGAAUGCUCAGAAAUUUUCACACGGCCUAGCAUACGGGUGUGUGGCUUGGCCUUGUGGCCUCUGCACCUAAUUAAUAUAAGUCAGUAUGCCCACAUGGCCUAGCACACGGGCGUGUGGCUUAGCCGCGUGACCUAUGUUGACACCAUUUUUUUGUGAAAACGGGGUCGACUUAGAUUUUGAAAACGAAAACGGGAGUCGCCAUCAAUCCUUUUUUAUAAGGUUUGAUCGGGCCAUCUUGAAAAGUGGUUGUAUUUUAUAAACGAUUUCAUUUUAUUAAAACAACGAUUUUGGUCCACGAAAUUCAGAAAAACGGGUUCGGGAAUCGGUUACGUACGAGGAAGGAUUAGCACCCUCGUAACGCCCAAAAUUGGUACCUAGUUGAUUAAUUAAUGUCUUAGUGUCGAAGAUUGAAAACUUGAAAGAGAUUUAAAAUACGAUCAUUUAUUGAAAUGUUGAAAAUUUUCUAGAAAGAAGGCAUAUUUCACGUUAAUCGAGAAAGAAAAUUAUAUCUAGUAAGUUAGGACACAAUGCCUUGAAUUCCCGAUGCGUGAAUGAAUGUAAAAAAAUUACUUAUUUAAAAGAUAUUUAGCUAUCUCGGAUUUAAAAAAGGGAUCAUGCCUAGUAAGUUAGGACACGAUCUCUUCUUAAUUAAUGUUGAUUUAAAAAAAAAAGCUUGAGUUAAGCAGCAAAGGUCUGCUCGUCCCGCGAUAGCAAUAUGUCACAUCUCGUAAGUCAGGACGCGACAUUUGAACCUCCGAGAAUGAGUUUGCCUUUGAUUUUUAUUGAAAUUUUAUGUGUUUGGAAAUUUAAAAGGAUAUUUUGCUAUUUAGGUUUAACGAGAAAUUGAGACCCAGUAAGUUAGGGUACAAUUUCUUAAAUCCCAAAAUGCGAAAUAUUGCCUUAUUUUAGAAUUUUCCUUUUUGAAUAAUGACGAUUACAACACUUGAACAAGGUGUAUUUGUUUUGUUCGUGGUAAAAUAGACCGUUUUUUAUUAUGGGUAUAUACAAAUCAAACAUAACUUUUAAAAUGAUGAAAUGAAAUGAAACGAUAACAUAAAGCAUGAAAUGACAAUUCACAAAUAAAAUACCAUGUUAGCAAAUGGCAAUAAUACGAAAACAAAUAAACUAAUUACAAUGUCCAUAAUGAUAUUAAUCACACCACAUGCAACAAUUUAACAUGCGAAUAUUAACAAUCAAAGUACGAAAUGACAUAAUGGAGAACGAUUUUACGUAGCUAAUAGUAUAAGACAAAUAAUUUAUGAGAUCAAUUUGAAAUAAAUGGUAAAUAUCUCAAGCAAACAAAAUAUGAAAUUUAAAAUGAAAAAUACUAAUAUAGUUUAAAAUAAAAAAAAACACAAAAUAAUAUUCUUUUCCUUUAUUAAAAAUAAUAUAAAAAAAUAAAGGACAGUAUAUAUAUGGUAGUUUAAAACAAAUAAUGUAAAUAAAUAAAAAAAUUAAGUAAAUAUUAGGUGAAACAUUUAAAAUAAAUAAUAUAUGUAAAACUUAAAAUGCAUAAUAAUAAAAGAAGAGCUCUUAAAAAAAUAAAUAAAUAAAUUAAUUUUUUUAAAAAAUAAAGAAUAAUAAAUUUAUUAAAUGAAAUAGGACAAAAUUGAAAUCGGGCUCAAAAUUCGGGGUUUAAAUCGUAAAUAAAUAAAAGAGGAUGGUUCGGGACUGAAAUGAAAUGCGCUUAAGGUGCGAGGGGCCUUCAGGGAAAUAAUCCCCAGUCCUAAAGCCUGGCGUUUUACCGAAGGGACCAUAUAUGGUCUAAGGACCAGAUUGAAACGGAGGCGAAAUUCGCGACCCAAAUCAGAAAGACCAAGAAGGAUCAGAUCGCGCUACAUUGAAAAAGCGGAGGGACCGCAUGCGCAAAUAGCCCCUCAAAUCAGAAAACGCAUGGAUCCUAAGGUCGGACGGGUUGGGUUGCAGGUCAGAGACCAAAACGGCGUCGUUUUGGCCUCUGAACCCCACCUCCAAAACGGCGCCAUUUUUUUAUUGCUAUAAAAGCCAGAUUUUUUUUUGAAGUCCUUAUUUUCAAACCCUUUUCCUAAAAAAAACAGAGAGAAACCUCUCAAAAAAAGCUCCCCCAUAUCCGGCAAUGGCCACUACCAUCAAACGGCCACGUCGCCGCCAUGGCCAACAGCUAGCGACGGAAGAGAUGGGUUUUUUUAGCCCUUGUCCAAUGGCCUUCUUAGCCCAAGAGAGAGUGAGCCGAAAGAGGGGACUCCUCACCCCGUCCUUUAGGGCCGACUUCGACGACAGAGAGAAGACCCCCGACGACGCGGACAAAAGGUGUUUCGGGUAAGUUUUUCUUUAUUUUCGUAGAUAAAAAUAAAUAAAAAAAUAAAUACCCUAGAUCUAAAAUGCAAAAAUGAAAACAACUUAAAAAAGUUCAGAUCUUUCCUUUUUUUGUAUUAAUUUCGUAGAACCCCAACUAUUGUUCAUUGUGGCUUUUUUAUAACCAUAUUACAACUUUUUGUUUCUAUUUUCUUGUCGCUUUGCUAUUUGGCUGCUUCCUUUUAUUGUGCGUGGCUCUUUCUUUUGCAGGUGUCAGACCGACGGUAGUGGCAGAGGAGGCGACAUGCGCUGGAGGUGUGUGGCUAGGUGUGGCAGAAGAGGAGGCCACGCGAGGCAUGCGGCUCGUAGGGUUUCUUUUGGCUGAAAACUAGUUUAGGUUUUGGGCAAUUCGGGCUUUAGGGUUUUAAUUCUUAUUGGGCUUUUGGAUUGUUGGGUUUGUUUAAUUUUGGGUCUGGUUUUGUUUUUAUUCUGUGUUUGGUUUUAAUUGGUAUUUGGGCUGAGGUUUGUUUGGGUUUGUAUUGGUUUUGGGCCCCGGGCAAAAAUGGGCUCUUACAACCUAAAUUAGUGAGCACCCUAAUUUGGACACGGGCUGGGACAUGGCCGUGUGUCCCUAUUUCGAAUACCCACAUGGCCUACGGCAUAUGCGUGUCUCUUGACCAUGUGAGACACACGGCCUGACCACACAAGCAUGUGUCCCCUGUACAUUGGAAAAUCUUUUGAUAUUUUGCGAAAAAUUCUCUGAGUUCCCGGUUUAGUCCCGACUUGUUUCUAAUGCAUAAUUUGAGCCUCAAUGGUUCAUAUAAGGGACAAUAUCAUUGUAUAUGAUUGAUUUCUGAUGUGAAUAAUAAAUGAUAUGAAAUGUUUGUAUUUGAUCUGUAAUUCCCGGUAAUGCUCUGUAACCCUGAUUCGACGACGGAUAUGGGAUAGGGGUGUUACAUUAAUUAUAAGGUUUUGUUUGGUUGUUUUCGAAGUAACUGCACCACCGUCAAGGGUGGACACAUAACUACUAAUGAAUUUUGUUUCAUAUAAAUUUAAAUGCAGUUAGCACCAUUAAGCCAAAUAUUUGUGUACAACGGAGCACGAAGUAUUUUGAAGAUCGAACCCAAAUGACUGAAGGGAGAAUGUAAUCAUCGAGUUAAUUACUAAUAAAGUAACUAUUAAUCUAAUUAAUUCAAGAAUUAAUAGUGCAACAGAAUAGAAAUUGUAUUAAAAUUAAUUUUGAAUUAACAAAUAAAGACACUAAUUUAACCUUCUUCAUUCUUGCUAUAGACAAUGCAAAUGGUUGAAAGGAUGGUCAAUUGAUUCGUUAAUCACUAACUAAGCUAAUAAACAUAUAUCGAUUAUCUUGUUUGUCAUUCCUAACUAGGAAUCUCCUCUUAGUCUCACCUUAAACUAGCAAUUAUCACCUAAGAUCUCCUCUCAAUCUCACCAAGGUUUGUAGAUCUCCUCUCAAUCUCACUACUUGGCACAAUCAUACCAAAUUCUUACCCAUGAUACUCUCUUCUCGGUCUCACUACUUGGCACAAUCAUACCAAAUUCUUACCCAUGAAACUCUCAUCUCGGUCUUAUUUAUCUAGAUCUUCCACUAGAAUCGUCAAUUCUAAUGUAUUAAGCAAUUUGAUAUAAUUGAACAAACAAUUAACCAAGUAUAGAUGUCAACCUAGCUAAAUAAUCAACAUGAAUUUUAGCAUAUAAUAAAGCUCAAGAACCAAAUAAAUAUUUCAUCAGCACUUGGGAAAUAAAAGGUAAAAACAAGGUUUGAGAAAUGCUCAUUCAUAAAGGUAGAUCAAAUGGAGUGUAAGAGCUUGAAAAUUCUCCAUUUAUAAAGUUUCUAACAAGAGUGAAGAAAGACCUACAACAAAAUAAUGCCUAUGCUAAAAGCAAACUAAAGAUAACCUGAACUUGCUAAGAAAAAUUUGUAAAAAAUGAGCUAGACUAUGAAAACAAUUUGUAGAAAUAUGCUAGGAACAUGUUUAUAUAGUAAUAAACUAAAAUGCUAGUAUACGCCUACUAAAAAUCCAUUUUACAAAGGCUAAGGACCUAAAAUGACACCAAAAUAUCCCUUAAAAUCGUUUUAGAUCUGAGUAGUUUUGUAUUGCAUUAUUGCGACUGUGGAAAUUCAUCAUUGCAAAUGGCUUGUGGUCACAAAAAUGGUGUCUCUAUCUUUAAGGAUUCAUUCCAAACAAUGGAGGUGUCAUCGCGACCGUUGUAACAUCCCGUUUUUAAUAAAAUCAGAACAAUAGUUUCGAGACCACAAAUCUGAGUUCAAAAGGAAAAUUAUUUUAAUAUUAUUUCAUGGUUUGCAUUAUUAUAGAAAUGUCAUAUGAAAUUAUCGUAAAGAAAUUUUAACUCAUUACAUGUUUAAUUUGAUGUAAAGGACCAAAUUGCAUAAAGUGCAAAAGUUAAAUUUUAGUAGCUAAAGGGAUCAAAUAGCUAUGGAAUUCAAAAUUGGAGGUCCUUAUAUGGAAAAUAGGACAUUAAGAGGAGUUAGUAGAUAAGUAUGACGAUUCAUCAUUGGAAAAUUUAAUAAAGAAAAGGAUGACAUUGGAAUGAUGAAAAAAUUAAAGAUGAUAAAUAAUAAAAUAAAACAAAAUAUCAUCAUAUUAUCAUCUUUCCUAAAUUAAAAAGAUGGAAACCCUAUCCAUAAAAACCUAAGUUCAAGCGAGAUUAUUUGGCUUAAUUGGGUAAGUAUCUUUGUCCCGUUUUUAAUGAUUUCUAUGUUUCUGAGAUCGUAAUAGCUUAAUCAAGCUAUCUCGGGGAUUAAUUUGCAAAGUUAUUAAAGUGUUAGGGUUUUUCCAUGGAUGAGUAUGUAUGAAUUAUGAGGUUUUAUGGUAGAAAAUGAAAGGUUAUUGAUAGAUAAACAAAUUUGUAAAGGGAAUUUUGAUGAAAUCACGAUUUAGGGACUAGAUUGAAAAGACGUAAAAUUCAUGAAAAAAAUUUGAAUUUUAUGAAAUACAUGGGCUGCUUAUGUUAUAUGUAAAAAUAAGCUAGGCUUGGAAUAAGGAUUAAAUUUCAUGACUUUCAUUUUUCGAGCCUAGGGACGAAAACUUAAUUAAUCAAAAGUAUAGGGGCAAAAUAGUAAUUUUGCCAAAGAUGUGUAUUGGACUAAAUUGAAUAUGAAUUGUAUUAAAUUGGUGUUAAAUUCAUUUGUAUAGAUCCGGAUAGAUCAAAUACGGAGUUAAAUCGAGGAAAAGAGAAAGCAACGGAUUAGUAGCUUACAAAUCAACGUACAAUUGUCGAGGUAAGUUCGUGUAACUAAAUUGUAUAUUUAUAUGUUUGAAUUGAAUGUUGGGUAUGUGGAUUUGUUCAAUUGCCAUGUAUGGAAAAUCAAUCACAUAUCCGACAAUGUCCAACAAGUAUUAAGUUCCGUUUGAACAAAUAAAAUUCGAUGGAAUAUAGGGUUCCCGGAUUGGUUGUGGUCUUGCAUGUGUUGCGGACACACCAUAGCUCGCAAGAGCAUCCCGUUAAUUAGCUCUCAUGAGCAUUCCGUUAUAUGGCUCUCAUGAGCUUCCCAAAUAAUGGUUCUCUUGAACUUUCCGUUUAUGGAUCGUAUGAGCUUUUCGAUAUUUGGCCCUCCGAAACUUCCCAAUUAAAGGCUCUUUCAUGAGCUUCCCAAUUAACGGCUCUCUGGAGCUCCCCGAUAUUGGUUCGCAUGAGCUUCCUAUUACAUGGCUCACAUGAGCUUCCCGUGAUAUAGGUCAAAAGAGCUACCCGUUUAUAUGCUCUUAUGAGCAUUCCUGAAUAUGAAUUGACGGAUUACAGUUUUGUAUACUUAGUGUGUACUACCCUUGUAUUCAUCGAAUAAUGAAUGAUUUAAUGGGCAAAGUUAUGAUAUGGGACAAUAUGAAUUUGAGACGAAUUGUUACGGGUAUAUACUUGAAAUACAUGGAUAUGAUUUGUAUAUGUUAUUACAUGAGGUGGAAAGUAUAUGUAUUUGGAAAUUUGAUUAUUGAUGAGCUCAUACAUGAUUCUUGAUUUUCAUAUGAUAUACAUGACUAACAUGGUUGAUGAGGAUAUGUGUUAGGGCUUUUGACCAAUUUGAUUUGAAUAUGCCUAAAAUGCUUACCUUUAAUGUGAUUAAAUGGUAAGUUAAAUUUCAUGUUAUACGAACUUACUAGGCUUUAAAGCUUACUUUAUUUUAUUAACCCUGUUUUAUAGAAAUUCAGAAUUUCGGUGGGUUGGAAGCUUGGCGAAGAUAUCUCACACUAUCCCUCAGCUCAUUUCGAUAUAAGUAGUAAACUAAUUUUUGGUUAUAAUGGCAUGUAUAGGGUAAUUUGGCCAAUGUUGGCUUAAAAGUAUUUUGUUGUAAAUAGCCAUUGGAAUGGCUUGAGUUGGACAUAUUUGAUAUGUAUAUAUAUGUGUGUGGUUUUAUCAUGUUUGUUGUGUUUGAUUGGAUUGAGCUAGUAUGUAUGAUAUAAAUAAGCAUACAUGUGAUAUUGGUCAAAAAGGUAAUUUUGGAUACUCGAAUAUAUGUAAUGAUAUAUCAUGCAUAAGUCUUUGUUUUGGCUUGAUUUAAAUGUCCGGUAUUGGCUUGUGAAUGUGUUAAAGUGUUAAUGUAGGUGGAAGACAAAUUGGGUGAGAAAUGUGGCUUGAAAAUAGCCUAUAUUUUCGUCCACACGGGUAGAGACACGGGUGCUUGUCUCAGCUGUGUGUGACACACGGCUUAGCACAUGGGCUUGUGGUUUGGCUGUGUGCCUCCUGCAUUUUUAAAAUUGCAAAACAAAGUGCUUAGAUAUUUUCACAUGGCCUAGCACACGGGCAUGUGGCUUGAGUAUGCUCAUACGGCCUAGCACACGGGCAUGUGGCUUGACCGUGUGACCAAGUCAGAGAGCACCCUAACUUGGACACGGGCUGGGACACGGCUGUGUGCCCCUAUUUCGAAUGUUCACACGGCCUGAGACACGGGUGUGUCUCUUGACCGUGUGAGACACAUGGCCUGGCCGCAUGGACGUGUGACCCCUGCGCAUUGGAAAAAAUUUGAUAUUUUUCAAAAAAUCUCUAGGUACCCGGUUUAGUCCUGACUUGUUUCUAAUGUGUAUUGUAACAUCCCUUACCCGUAUUCAACACCGGAAUAGGGUACGAGGCAUUACUAGAACACAUACACUUGUAAACGUAUUUAACCGAGUUAUAAAACUUCAUCUAAAUUAAAACUUUCAAAUUAUUAACAUGCUUUUAAAAUUCUUCAUAAUAUAUCCUCAAAAUAUUAUAUUCAUAAUAAAUAGGAACUACAAGACCUGAUACAUAUUCAUGCAGUUUACAAGUCUUAAUAAUUCAAUGCUUCAUUUCCAUUUCAUUCAAUUCACAAAUUUCUCAUGUUCACAAUUCAAAUCAUUAAGUUCAAUUUUAAUAUGCAUUUACCAUUUAACUCAACCUUUAUCGAUUGUACCAUUCAUUUACACAUUUAUGAAAUUCUCAAUUUUGCAAUGAAAAUAUCAAUUUAGCUUAAAUAGCAACAUCAAUUCAACUCAUCAUCCUAGUAUAAAUUCACUACCAGUUAUCCAUUUACUAUAAUUCUUUUGGGACCAUUUGUCACUUACCAUCCUUAAUCAAAGUAGGGAACGGUUAUGGAAAAUUGAGUACUUCACCUCCACUUUGCCAUAGUAUAACUAUGGUAUUGCGUAUGAUCACUUAGCACUUUCCGAAGCCAUAGCCCUGCCAUGGUCUUACACGGAUCACAUUUAUCACUUGUCACUGAUCAGAUAAGUGUAGCUAAAACUACCACUUAUCACUUGUCACUUGUCACCGAUUAGAUAAGUGUUGCUAAGCUACCACUUAUCACUUGUCACUUAUCACUGAUCAGAUAAGUGCAGUUAAAGCUACCACUUAUCACUUGUCACUUAUCACUGAUCAGAUAAGUGUAGCUAAAGCUACCACUUAUCACUUGUCACUUAUCAGAAGUACUCAAAUCUGACGUUCCGCUCAAUUUGAUCAUUUAUUCGGUUUUCGCAUUGUUAUUUUAUUCUCAAUUCAUCAACAAAUAUAUCUCAUCAUACAAUAUAUAAUUCAUGAAAUUAACAUGUAAUCAUUAAAUUUCAACCAUAUAAACUUAAUAUUUUAUUACCUUUCUACACUUGUUUCCUAGUCGCAAGCUAGUGUAUUUAAACAUAACUCUUUUUGGAACUAACCACAUGAUAAACCAUUUCACUAGAGAUUACAUAAUUUAAACCUUACCACCCUUUUUUUUAUGAUCGCAAGCAUAUUUCCAAUUAGGCACUUACCAUUUUAAUGCAUAACUUAUAAAUUUAACGUGGCAUAAUCCAACCACUACUUGGCCAAAGCCUAAGCAUGUACACCAAAUAUGUUGGCCAAAUACACAUAUAGCAUAAGCAUUAUAAGCAUGGAUGAGCACAACAUUUAUUCAUGUAUCACGUUUAUCAAUAUGUGUUAAUUCAUAAACCAUUCAUGACAUUACUUCAUGUCAAAUCAUAUACCGAAUAUACAAUACAUACAUACUAUGAAACUUUAUUUUCACACAUGAGCUUAAACCAUGACCAAUAAUGCACAAUUAUAAGCAUUAUUUCUAUUUCAUCGUUUAUCAAUUAUAAUCAAGCAUAUGACCAAUUAUACACAAGUCAUUCAUAUAUUUUCCCAAUUUUCCUCCUCCUCAUCUCCAUUCCACAUCUUUAAUGUGUAUAACACAUUUAAACAACAUUUUUCAUACUAUCACUAUUUUCCUGUAUGUAAAUUCAAGCUACCUAUCUAAGUCAAAGUCACUAAUUUAUUUAUAUCUCGAGAUACAGAGCUCUAAAUUAAGAUCUGUUAAUUUUAACUAAAACUAGAUUCACAUAUCUUCUUACCAUAAAUUUCUCAGAAUUUUUUGUUUAGCAAAAUAGUAUAUUUUAUUCUUUAAAUAUUUCCCUAUUUCACUGCUCGAUAGUUCUGACCUGUCUUCACUAAAAAUUAAUUAUCUCAUUGUACAGAUUUUGGAUAUUAUUUCUGUUUGUUUCUCUUGAAAAUAGAUUCACUGAGAAUUCUAAAAAUAUAAACUUUAUCCCAUAAUAAUUUUUUUACAAUUUUUGACAAUUUUCUAAAUUCAAAACAGGGGAUCCCGAACUCAUUCUGACUCUGUCUAACUAAACUUCAAAUAUCUCAAAAUAUAUAACUCUUUUUCUUGCUCUAUUUCUUUUAUGUGAAAAUAGACUCAUUCAACUUCAAUUUCAUAUAUUAUUAAGCCUCUAAUUAAAUUUACACCAUUUUUGAUGAAUUUUCAAAUUCACACAGCUGUUGCUGUCUAAACUGUUUUGUUGCUAAAUGUACUCUUUCAUAAUUUCACUUUUUCUCACUUUUCUUUUUAUCGAUCAAUGUCAAUUUCUCGUCUUUCUUGAUUUAUAACAAUACAUUUAACUUAUUUAACACUCACAUUAUUCAAUUUAGUUCAAAAAUCACUAUUUGGAAAAAUUACAUUUUUGCCCCUAAACUUUUCAUUAAUUCCUAUAUCGUCCCUAGGAUCGAAAAAUGAAAUUCAUGGAAUUCAAUCCCCGUUUCAAGCCUAAACGAAAAUCAUAUGUAUUUAUAACAGUUCAUAGAUUUCACAAAAAUCAGAAAUUUUCCUUUGAAUUUCACAAGUUUACCAUUUAGUCCCUAAAUCUCAAUUUCACCCAAAAUCACUUUGUAAAAGUUGUCUAUUUACUAACAACCUUUCAUUUUCUACCAUAAAUUUUCAAUUUUCAGCAUUUUCAUCCAUGACACAAUUUCCAUACCUUGAUAACUUUUCAAAUAAAUCCUCAAAAUAAAGAAAACAUGUUAUCUCGAUCUCAAAAAUAUAAAAAUUAUUAAAAACGAGACAUGAUUACUUACCAAUUUAUGCCAAGAAAGUCUCUUCUCUCUCUCCUAGGGUUUCCAUGUAAAUUUUGGGGAAGAAGAUGAUAGAAAAAGAUGAUAUGUCCAUGUAAUUAAUUAUCAUCUUUUAAUUUCCCCAAAUUCCAAUUUAGUCCUUUUCUUUUUCUCAAAUUCCAUGGAUGAUUCAUCCAUAAAAAUCUACCAUCUUUUGAUUGAUAGUCUAUUUACCAUAUAAGGACCUCUAGUUUUGAAUUUCAUAACUAUUUAACCCUUCUAGCUUUUAGAAUUCAAUUUCUACAUUUUAUACAAAUAGGUCCUUUCCUUAAUUAAUCACUAAAUCAAUAAAAUUUUCAUAUCAAUAUUUUCAUGCAACCUUCCUAUCAUAAUGCAACCCAUGUCAUAAUUUUAAAAUAAAUUUUUUCUCGUCGGAUUUGUGGUCCCGAAACCACUGUUCCGACUAGACCCAAAAAUCGGACUAUUACAUGUAUUUUGGGCCUUAAGGGCUCAUAUAAGGGACAAUAUGAUUGAUUUUGAUUAGUUUCUGAUAUGAAUGUUAAAUAAUAUGAAAUGUUUGUAUUUGAUCUGUAUAUUCCAGUAAUGCUCCAUAACCUUGUUCCGGCAACGGGUAUGGGUUAGGGGUGUUACAACCGUGGCAAUUCAUCGUUGUGACAAUGAUUGUGCUUGCAAAGUUCUCCACACCAUUUGAGUGCUUAAUCGUGUCAUCAUCCAUAGGGACCUAGAAUGUUAUUUUCACACAAGUAAGUUCACAUUUAAAGGGACAUAAAUAUAUGUAAAAAUACUAAAAAAUAUUACAUCUAAUAUAACUCUUACUACUUAUGCAAGAACACACAAAAUUACUCUAAAUGCAACCCGAAACAUGCUCUUUUAAGUGUAAAAAUGACCUAAUUUAUCAUAUCAAUCUAGAACACAUUAGUUGUUUUCCACCAAGUUGACAUAUACAAUAGUAGAGAGAAAAAGUGUAUUGAUGUAUUGAAAACGGUUCUCAAGGAUAUUUCACCCGCAAUGUACCCCUCCCCUCGGGGUUUAACAAGGAUUUCUGUUACAAGAAUAGGAGUAGGAAUAAUCUAAUUAACAAUAUUUUAAAAAUGAUUAUCUAUUUUUUUACUUUUUUAUUUUUUAUUUUGAAAUUUUAUUGAAAAUCUAAAUUAAUAAAAAAAAUAAGAUUACUUUUCUAAACAAAAUCAAAACAAUUGAAAAAAAAUAUUGAUAUCUCGUGAAAAUUGAAAAAUAAAAAAAAUAUUAUGUCUGUUAUUACUGUGAGAUUUUUUUUAAACCAAAGGUAGUAGUUAAAAACAAGAAAAUAUAACCAUUUGAUUAAGUCCUGUGCACCUUUUAAAUUAAUUACGGAAUAUAUUGCGAAUGUAAUUUCUCUAGAUCUUUAUCGGCUGAAUUGGUAAAAGGAUAUCACUGAAAGAAGCCAAAAAGCUUUCGUCUUUACUGUCUUCAUCUCACUCAUAUCUGUUUCAAAGCUAUUCUUCUCUUCAAUCGCUGACAUAGACUUACUCAGGUUCAACAGAUCUGUUAUCAAAUUUCCUCUCUCUGCUGUGAAAAGGGUGGCAAAAAUGGGGUCUAUCAAGUGUAAUUGGGCAGAUAACAGUGGGGGAAAGCUGCCUCUUUUGGUCAGCUUCUGGGGAAAUGAAGAUGGAGGAAGUCGACGGAGGGGUCUGAAAGUUAUGAGAGAAAAAAUUAAGAAUUCUUGGGUUGAAUUCAACGAUUUUGCUAGGAAAGCAUUGGAAAUGGGACGUUCUGAUCCCAGGAAAGUUAUAUUUGCGGUAAAAAUGGGGCUGGCAUUGUCACUUACGUCUUUGCUCAUAUUCUGGAAAGGAUCAUAUCAGGAUUUUGCUCAAUAUUCAAUCUGGGCAAUCCUCACGGUCAUAGUGAUGUUUGAAUUCAGCAUUGGUACUUCUUCUACUCAUAAUCAUUUUUUUUUCUCUUUUUGGUGAAUUUCAUCAAAGUUUCAUUAUUGGUUAGACUGUCUGGUUCGACUCUGAGCAGGAGCAACCUUCAUCAAAGGAUUUAAUCGUGGAUUGGGAACACUUUGUGCUGGGAUACUUGCUUUUUGCUUUGCUGAGUUAUCUGUGGUGGCCGGCAAGUUCGAGGAAGUUGUCAUUGUAAUAAGCAUUUUCUUAACAGGUCAGUGUUUUUCUUAUUUUUUCUUCUAGAAAUUCCCGAAUUAUAUCCAUAUCCGGCUUCCCUGUCGAUUUAGGUUGAAGGCAACGGACAGUUUUUAAGUCUUUAACAGAUUUCUUUGCCGUGGAUAGGAUUCUGCGCAUCCUAUCUGAAGCUGUACCCGACAAUGAAGCCUUACGAAUAUGGAUUUCGAGUAUUCGUAUUGACAUAUUGUAUCCUUAUGGUAGCUGGUAACCGGACCAGGGAAUAUAGUCAGGCAGUUUUAACUCGGUUGGUGCUUAUAGCUGCUGGAGCUGGUGUUACUUUGGUCGUAAAUAUAUGUAUUUUCCCAAUUUGGGCUGGUGAAUCUCUGCAUAAAUUGGUGGUGAAAAAUUUUAAGGACCUUGCCACUUCUUUGGAAGGUUGCCUUUUCAUUCACGUAACAAAACAGUCUAACUACUCUUUACAUUCCUUUCUUCACUAAUUUUGUUCUUGUUAUUCAGGUUGCGUCAACGGGUACUUGCAAUGUGUGGAAUACGAGAGAAUUCCGUCGAAAAUUCUUACAUAUCAAGCUGCGGAUGAUCCGCUUUAUAAUUGUUAUCGGUCAGUGGUGCAGUCUACAAGCGAAGAAGAUACAUUGGUAUCUGCAAUUGCAUGAGCUAUAAAUUAUGCAACAGUUUUCACUUGUUUGAACAACAGAUUCCAGGGGUUGAAAUGGUGUUAAUCAAAUCUGUCCUUUUGCAGCUUGGUUUUGCGACUUGGGAACCUCCUCAUGGACCUUAUAGGCAUAAUUAUCCUUGGGAAAACUUUGUCAAAGUAAGCGGUGCAGUGAAGCACUGUGCUUUCACUGUUAUGGCACUGCAUGGUUGCAUCCUUUCGGAAAUACAGGUUAGUACUCUGCUUCAUCUAGUGCAUCCUUGUUAUAAAAACGUAUCUAAUUAAGAAGUGCGUCAUUGAAUUGGAAAGUAUAAGGUAGGCAGGCCAUAGAUGAAAAGGGAAUUUGUAUUAUUGAAGUACUGAUUCAUUUGGCUUGAUGCGGAAAUGUUAUAAAUAUAGGCCCCUGCGGACCGAAGGCAUGUCUUUUCCAAUGAGCUUCAGAAGGUGGGGUCGGAAGGCGCGAAAGUGUUACGUGAGCUCGGAAGCAAAUUAGAGAAGAUGGAAAAACUGAGUCCAGGUGACAUACUUAAAAAUGUACACGAGGCAGCUGAGCAGCUGCAGCAAAAGAUAGACCAUAAGUCGUACGUUUUAGUGAAUUCUGAGGGCUGGGAAAUUGGGGGAAGGCCCAUGGAAUUAGAUUUAGAAGACCUGAUCAAUGCGGCUGAAGAUGAAAACAUGAAACUGGGAUCUAAAUCGUUGAGUGAAGCAGUGCUGGAGGUGAGGUCAGUCUCUGUUGGGACAGCUUUGUGUUAUGACGCCAAAAACACGUUAAGAACAUGGCCCUCAAAUGUUUCAGCUAAUGGGGGAUCAAUGGUUAAGGGGGACGAAUUCAAAACAUACGAAAGUGCUAGUGCUUUGUCCUUGGCCACAUUUACUUCACUUUUGAUUGAAUUUGUGGCCAGAUUAGGCAAUGUGGUCAGCUCUUUUGAAGAACUCAGUCUAAAAGCUAACUUCAAAGAUCCUCCCAUCAUCAACAUGCCCCCUGAACCUUGUAAAGGAAUCGCUACUUGAGUUGUUUAGGUAGUAAUUAUGUUUUUUUUUCUUUUAGCUGGAAAAGAUGCGAGUGUAUGAAGGAAGAAGCAUUAUAUUUUUUUUUAGAAUUCUUGAUUGAGGGUAUGAAACGAUAAUACCUUGUUUGGUUAAUAGUCUAAUAAUACGAGAAAAAAAAAACUUAUUUAUUAUAUAUGCAUUACAAUAAUUAAGAUAAAUUAUUUGUAAAAUUAAGAUAAAUAAAAGGAUUCGUUAACUCGAUUUAACUUGACUCAAAAUUUUUUUACUAUUCGAUUCAAAAAAUUUUCAAAUUGAGUUCGGUUGCUAAAAUAGGAUUCGUCAACUUGACUAACUCGAAAUUUUUUGACUCGAUUGAAUACUCACCCCUACAUAUAUGCACAUAUCUUUUGAAUUGCGCUCGUUUUUUCAUUUUAAUACUUAAAAUAUUUUGAAUUUAUAUAUAUUAUGAAUUAUUUUAUGUUUUUAUAAAUUUCUUAUUUUAUGUAAGUGGUAUAUUAUUAAAAAAUUGAAUGUUUAAAUUUAAUAAUUUUAAUAUAUUUUUAUAUUUUAAAAUUUUUAUAAUAUUUUAAAUUUUUUUGUUUUAUAAAGUUGAGAUAUUAUAUUUUUUAUUUAAAUAUUUUUUUAUAAAUUUUAUAUACAAGUUUGAGCCCGACCCAUUCAUGAAUAUGUGUAAAAUACGACAUUUGUUUGUUAUGGCCCUAAACUCGUAGGCUUUGUCCUUCAUGCAAGUUAGAAUGCCAAUAUAAUGGCGCAUAACAUGUCUUAUGCAUUUCAUGAGUUUCAAUGGUCUGUGUGCUUCUGUCAUGGGUUGCAUAUGGGAGCCCGUAAUCAUGGUGCACUUAAGUGAUCCAUCAUGCUCAAGGGAGGUCACUUGGUACAACCGGACUGGCCCGUUGCUGAAAAAGAUGCAAGUGUUUGAAGGAAGAAGCAUUAUAUUUUUGUUAGAAUUCUUGACUCUUAUGAGUGUAUGGAACUAUAAUACCUAAUUUGUUAAUAGUGUAAUAACACGAGGAAAAACAUAUUUAUUUUAUAUGUAUUACAAUAAUUAGACAUAAAAUAAAUAAUAAUUAGUAUAAGUAUAAGCUUGAAAUUAGAAAGAUAGUUAUAGGUGUAGUAAACAAUAAAAUUGCUUUAAAGCAAGCAAAGGUUUUUGGUCUCUUUGCUAAAAAUAAAUUAUAAUAAUGACAAAAUAUUAUUCAUUGAAUUAAUUUGUUGUUAACUCAGAUAAGUAAAAGAUAAAAUGAUUGGUAGCAUCGCAAUAUUUUCUAUAAACAAUCAUAUAACUUGUUUGUAAAGUCGUAUUUUCUUAGUAGCCCAUUUUCAAAUUCCUAAAAACCACGUGCACCCACACAGAUAUGCACAUGUAUUUUGAAUUGUGCAUGUUCUUCUAUUUUAAUACUUAAAAUAUUUUGAAUUUAUAUAUAUUAUAAAUUUCUUAUUUUAUAUAGUUGGUAUAUUAUAAAAAAGAAAUUGAAUAAUUUUUAAUAAAAUUGAAAUAUUAUACUCUUUUGAAUUAAAUAAUUUUAUUAUAAAUUUUAUAUAUUCGUGAACAUGUGUGGAUGGGACUAUUAUUACAUAUUUACUAUAUUCAAUACAGAUAGAUAAUCCGUUUGGGAGGAGUCUGUGAGUGUCUUUGAUGGGUCCUGUCCGACAUGCAUUUUAAUAUUAAAUUAGUCACCAACAAAUCAAGAGAACACUUGUAAUCUUAUCUUUUAUUUUCCUUUUUGACGUUUCGUCCUGAUUGAAUAAGCUGACAUCCACAGCAACCUCCACAUUCCUUGUUGCAUCACUGUCAACAAGUUCAACGUUUAUAAACAAACAAUAUGAAUAAUGGAGGCCCAAAGAAGAGACAGCUAGGCUGUCAGAUAUUAUUGUCCAAUUGAUUAAGGCUAAAUUAAACACUUUAAUUACCUAGCGUUGAAUGCUCUAGAUGCUUCAAUUUUUUAAUUAAUUCACUAAUUAUUAUUAAUUAAGUAAAAUGUUAGAUUUGAUGAUAAUUUUAGGGUUUUAGUUUUUUUUUUAAAUUUUUCCUUAAUUUUUAAUUAAUUAUUAGUAAGUUUUAUUAAAAUUCAAUUAAUCAAUUAUUAUUGUCAAUUUUUAUAUUAAACUAUAUUAGUAUAUUAUGUUUUGUAAAUUAUAAAAUUUAUAUAUACUAAUUUUCAGCAAAACGUGUUGCACGUGAUAUCCAUAUUUAUUAAUAUCAUUUUCUAAAUUUUAAUACCAUUUUUUAAACAUUUUAUACUGUAAAUAUAUUUGUAUUACAAGAAACAAUAUGUAAAUAGAUAGUCCAAAUGAGAAUGAAAAGUUAAGUAUAAAGUGUAAUUUAAUAUUUAUUAAAUUUCAAUUCAUUUAAAUUUUUAUUUAAUUAUUUUAAUAUGAUAAAAGAAUAUUAAUAUAUAAAAUGCAUCCUACUUAAAUACUUAGAGUUUGAAUAAAGUUAGAACAAUAACUUUAUCUUUAUCAUUCAUAUAAACAUCUUAAAAUUAAAAAUUUGAUUUAAUUUGAAUCGAAUAAUUUUUUUGACCAAGCAACAGAGAAAAUGAAAAAAAAUUCAGAUCUUUAAUUUAGGUACUAAAAUAAAGAUACCAAAACCACGUCGUUUCAAUAUUAUUUGGUUUAAAAACAAAAGUUGACAUAAAAGCUAAAAUAUUAGGUGGGAUUUAUAAAAUAAUGUUAUUAUUUACAAGAAAAAUUCAUGUCAGAUUUUUGUUUGUCAUUUUAAGAGAAGUGGUUAAAAUAAUCAAAUUAUGUAAUAUGUUUAUCUAAAUUGUAAACUUUUUUAUUUGAGUGUCUAAAAUGAAAAAAAUAAAAAUUUAAUGAUCAUCUAUGUAAUUUACUCUAUUUUAUUUACCUUUCACUUUUCAAAAGAGUUUUAGUAUCAAGGAGUCGAACCAUUAAAAUUUUAAUAACCAAAUUUUUUAUAUUUUUAAAAUUAAAUAUUUUAGAAAGAUAUUUUCCUCAAUUAUAAUCAAAUAUAUAGAUGUAGAUUAUAUAUAAAUUCAAAGCUAUAUAAAUAUGUAGAUUGUCAAGGAUUCCUCCAUGGCUGUUAAAAGUAGUAUUUGGUUUAAGUAAUAUGAAGUUUUCGUGAGUAAUAUGAGAUUUGUGUAUAAUAUUUUUAUGUUUGGAUUUAAAAUAUUAUAUUGGGAUAGAACAUUUUUAAUAAUGUUAAAAUUUUAAAAUAAAACAAUAAUCUUAAAACUAAUUUUUUUAGCUAAUUUUCAUUUUAUGGCAAUUUUAUCUCUCUCCUCUUUGAGAAAUUAUUUUAUUGAUUCUUCCUACAACAUUAUCCAUAGUCCUUUUACAAUUAUUUAAUGACAUUUCAACAAUUUUUUCAUGUCAUUGACAUAUAAUUUUGAUAAUUUUUUUUAUUCUAAACCCCAAAUCCUAAACAUUGAACUCGAACUUCGAACUCAAAUCUUGAAUCAUGAAUCUCAAAUCCCAAACCCAAAUCAUAAACCUCAAAUCCAAAAUUUGGGUUCGAGGUUUAGGGUUUGGGUUCGGGUUCGGGUUUAGAGUAAAAAAAUUAUCAAAAUUGUGUGUCAAUAAUAUGAAAAAAAAUAUUGAAAUAUCAUUAAAUAAUUGAAAAUGAACCAUGAAUGAUGUGAUGAGUCCAUAAAAUAAUUUCUUCUCCAUAUUUCUUUUAUAAUUUUGUUAACUUUACCCUUGAAACCAAAGAAAAUAUCAUGUUUUAUUCAAAGAAAACUUUAUGUUUCUCUUAUCUUUCCAUGGAUAUUAUUCUUUUUAAUAAUUGAGAUAAUCUUUAAAAUAUUAUAAUGAUUAGUUGUAUUUGAUUUUGGAUUAAUAGAAUCAAAAUCAUCCAAACUUAGAACUGCUCAUGGGUCAAGUCAUCUGCCUAGGUUCAAAGGCUUGCUCGUACCCUAUUCCAGCGUGGAUAAUGUUUGGUAAUGCCUCGUACCCUAUUCCAGCGUCAAAUACAGGUAAGGGGAUGUUACAAGAUGCAUAUGCAACCACCUUACCAUUCUGCAUCAACAUACAUCCCAAACUGACAUGUAAUGCAUCACUAUAAACCGUGAACUCCUUUCCAGGUUCAGCCUGUACCAAAACAAGAGCCUCAGUCAGUACAGUCUUAAGCUUAUCAAAGCUCUCUUGCUGCGCAUUAGUCCAGUCAAAUGGAACACCUUUACGUAACAACUUAGUCAAGGGUGCUGCGAUCAGUGGAAAUCCUUCCACAAACCAUCGGUAAUAACCUGCCAGCCCCAAAAAGCUACGAAUUUCAUACACAUUCUUAGGCUGCUUCCAGUCCAAUACAGCCUCAAUUUUUUAAGGAUCGACUCAAAUCCCCUCAGCAAACACCACAUGACCCAGAACUGUUACUUCACGUAACCAAAACUCGCACUUGCUGAACUUAGCAUAGAGCUGAUUUUCCCUCAAAAUCUGAAGAACAAUCCUAAAGUGCUCGUCAUGCUCAUCCUCAGUCCUCGAAUAAACCAACAUGUCAUUGAUGAACACCACUACAAACCGAUCCAGGUAGGGCUAAAACACUCGGUUCAUCAGAUCCAUGAAAGCUGCCGAUGCAUUAGUCAGUCCAAAUGCCAUCACUAGGAACUCGUAGUGACCAUAACAAGUCCUAAAUGUCGUCUUAUGCACAUCGGUCUCCUUAACCCUCAAUUGAUGAUACCCAGAACGCAAGUUAAUUUUGGAGAACACAGACGCCCCUCAGAACGGGUCAAACAAAUCAUCAAUCCUCAGAAGUGGAUACUUGUUCUUAAUAGCCAACUUAUUUAGUUGUCGGUAGUUGAUACACAUCCUCAUGAAUCCAUUAUUUUUUUCUUAACAAACAAUAUCGGUGCUCCCCAAGGGGACACACUAAGGCGGAUGAACCCGCGAUCCAAUAACUCUUAAAUCUAAGCCUUAAGCUUCGUAAGCUCCUUCGGUGCCAUUCGGUAGGGGGCGAUAGACACCGGAGCUGCACUAGGAAGGAGCUCUAUCCCAAACUCCACUUCAUGAUUCAGAGGUAAACUUGGUAGCUCCUCAGGAAAGACGUCCGGAACAUCCUUUACCGUUCUGAUAUCUUUAACUGUAGAGUCCCCAGAAUUCGAAACACAUAUAUAGGCCAAAAAUGCCUCACAUCCCUUAUGAACCAAUUUUUCUGCCACCAGUACAGAGAUCACAUUAGAUAAGUAGUUCUGACGUUCUCCAAUCAUGACUACCUCCAUAUCCUCCUCGGCGAUUUUCGCCUUCUCGACCAUGGAAGGAAGAUCUCACUCCCUCUGCGGGGCUAUCAAAACUCUCAAAUUAUCUCUGAGGCCAUCUUCAAAGUGGAGACAUCGCUCAUACUCAGGUCUCACCAUACCUCGCGCAUAGCGUCUCAGUCUCAGAAACUCGGCCAGUGAUCGAUCCCUCUACACUGGAAGGUGGUCUUAAAGAACUCCCAGGUUAGACGUUCAGGCUGAGUGCCCCCUUAAUGAUUAACCACCACUGAUAAGCCUCAACCCGCAGCAGUGAGACUGCACCCUUUAAUUUUUGCUUAGGGGUGCAAUCUAGAUCAUCCAUGAUCCUCUCCGCGGCCCCAAUCCAAUACUCGACCACAUUAGGGGUGACCCCAGUGACACCCUUGAAGAGCUCAGCCCCAUUGGAUCAGAGUCGUUUCGUAAUCGACCAUCGGCCCCCAAAUUCAAUAUUGGGCCCAGCGACCUUCUCAAAAAUCCUUAGCAUAGCCUGGGACAAUACAUCAUCCCCAGUUAUGCGAUCUUGAAACCCAGUCUCAGUAGCGGACGACACUGGCGUCUCACUCGUAUCUAAAUUUUGUAGGUUGCCCGAUGACGAUGACUCAGUUCGAGCCCCUCUACGGCUUUUACCUUGUCCUCUAAUACCCCGUCCGUAGAUACCUUGUGUACUCAUAUCUAAUCAGAUUUAUCUUGUAUUAUAAGUUUUAUGAAUCAGUUAUAGUUCUAGUGUUUAUUAAUAAAUGUUUUAUGUAAAACAGUAUCGGUUAUUCAGAGUUUAUUUUCGUAAAUCGCAAUCUCACUACAGUUUCUAGUUUCUCUACAAUUUUUAGUAUGCACUAACUAAAGUGUUUUCAAUACAGUUUACUACCUAUAGUAGUUUCAAAAUAUAUUAUCCAUAACAGUUUCAGUUUAAAACAAAUCACAGUUCAAAAUACUAACAGGAUCGGCGCCGGAGACUCGGUGUACCACUUACUCAGUAAACACAUUUCAAAUCAUUUGAAAAUUAAUCAAUUUUUCAAAAGCCCAAUUUUUAUAAAACUCAUAAUCCACAGCCGAGUUUUGUAACUUAACUCUGAUACCACUAAACGUAACACCCCAAACCCGGCCUAAACAUUAUGGCCGAAUCUAGCGAUGUCACAUGGAAAGGGAUUUAAAGAUAAGAUUGUUGAGUUUAAAAACCGUUACAGUAAGUUAGCUUUUAUUUAAUUCAAAAAAACUAGUUGAUUGACUUUAAAACUUGUCUCUUAGCGGAAGCUUUUAUAACCAAUUAAUUUAGGAAAAAACCGUUUCUAUUUACGAAAAACCUUAGUUUUUAGAAAAAAAUCGUGUUUUGUGGAGUUGCAAUUUUAAAAAAAAUCCAAAAAAAAUAGUAUAAAGUCCUAAAUUUAAAGCCAACCAGCCAUAGUCCAGAAGAUACAUAAAAACCCCAAAUAAGUAAUAAAUUUUAGGCAUUAACGAAAAAUAGUAUAAAAUUUACGUGUGGCCAUUGUCGAGUCUUCCGCUACACCGACCCUUCAAGUUUAGGGAUUACCUGUACAGAUUAAAUAGAGAAAGGGUGAAUUUUCGCAAACUCGGUGUGUAAUCCCCACAGAAAACAUGUAUAUAGAUAAUCUACAGAAUUCAGUUAGAUACAGUCUGGGGCCCGUGCCCAUCACAGAAUCAGUUUGGGCCUUAGCCCAUUCAGAUACAGUCUCAGAAAUACAUUAGGGCCUUGGCCCGUAUCAGAUAUAGAAUUCAAAUAUAGUAAAUCAGAAUCCUACCCACCGGCCUCUACACACCAUUUUUGUCCAACCCUACACACCAUGUGGGGAUUAAAUCAACCCACUCAUCCCUACACACCAUGAUAUACCGAAAUGUGGCACAUAAUUAGAAGGUUACAGCUGAGCUGCCAGAUAACAGGCUUAAUAGCCUUUCAAACACUUCUUCCAAAUAUCAUCAACCCACCCCGAUGCAAGGCAACAUACAAAAUAUGUCAUGUCAUUAUACAAUUAAUAGUACAUACAUCCAGAUAUCAUAAAUCAAGCUUGGUAUAGAAAUCAGACAGACAUAUCACACAUAUAAGGGUCUAAGUAAAGCUUACCGACCCUACAAUAGGUCCACAGACGACUUGGGCGACCCGUGCAACAUUAUAGAACUUUUCAGAAAAAUAGGCUCACACGCUUAUGUGGCCUACUCAGCCCAAAUUGGCCUUGGCCAUGUGAUCCUUUUUUAAUGUAACCCGUGCUAGUUAAUUAUUCAUAUAUAUUUUUACUAUUUACUUAUAUGUUCCUUCAAAGUUGUCUACUUGAGUCACUGUUACUAAAUUAUUUAUAUCUUGAGCUAAAGAAUUUCGAAUUAAGAUCCGCUUGAUGUCUUGAAACUAGACCCAAAUGCCUUUCCACCAUAAAAUUUUUAGAAUUUUUGGUUCAGCCAAUAAGUACAGUAAAAUCUUCAAACUUACCCCUAUUUUGCUGUCUGACAGCUUCGUCCCUUCUUUGCUAAAAAUUAAUUACCUCUUAGUACAAAAUUUAGAAGAUGUUUCUAUUUAUUUCUAUUGAAAAUAAGCUCAUUAGUAAUUUAAACAUGUAAAUUUUAACCCCUAAUUAUUUUUCUCCAAUUUUUUAUGAUUUUCCAAAGUCAGAAUAGGGGAACUCAAAUUCAUUCUGACAUUGUCUCGUAAAGUCUAUUAUACCUCACAAUUUACAAUUCCAUUACUUACACCGUUUCUUCUAUGAGAAACUAGACUCAAUAAAAUUUAAUUUCAUAUUUUAUUCAUCCUCUAAUUGGAUUUCCACAAUUUAUGGCCAUUUUUCAAAGUUAGCCUACUUGUGAUAGCCCGAAAUAGGGCCUAAUCAGAAUAGUGGUUUCGUAACCAUAAAUCUGAAGUGAAAUAGUUUAAUUUUAUAAGUUUUUAUUAGUUACUAAUUGAUUGAAAUAUUUUGUGAAAAUAUGAAUAGAAAAUUUUAAUGAUUUAGUGCCUAAUUGAAUUUUUAGGACUAAAUUGAGAAAAAUGCAAAGUGUGUCUAAUUAGUGAUUAAAUGACUUAAUUGAAUCAUUGCAUGAAAUUGGAAGUGUUUAUGUGGCAAUUAGACCAUAAAUUAGUGAUAUGGACACAAAAGGGCAAUUCUAAAAAAAUAUCUAAGUAAUGGGUCAAGGGCAUUUUUGUCCAAAUUGAGUAAAAGACAAAAUAAAGUGAAAAUAAGUGUCCAUCUUCUUCAAAAUCAGACGUUUGCUGCCAAAAAAAUUCAUGUCACCUUAGCUAGUGUUCUUGAUCUUCCUAAGCUCAAUUGUAAGUGAUUUCUUGCCUCGUUUUUAAUUAUUUUCGUAUUUUUAUGCUUAUUGAUGCUUGAAUUUCAUGUUUCUACCAUUUAAUUUAAAUGAAAUUAAAGUUUAAAAAUUGACUCAUUCAUGAUAUAAUUGUAAAUUGAUUAGUGAUGUUAGAUAAUGAAUGUUUGAAGUGUUAAUUACAAGUUUUACUAGAUGAAUUUCAAUGAAAAUGUUGAAAAAGGGCUAAAUUGUGAAAGAUGGUAAAGUGUGCAUAAAGUUGUGAUUUUGUGAAAUUGAGGGCUGUUAUGAGCAUGAAAUAUGAUUUAGUGAAGUUUGAAAUUUAAGAAUUUAGUGAAUUUUAUUUUACGAGCUUAGGGACAAAACUGAAAUUUUUGAAAAGUUUUGGGGAAAAAUGUAAAUUUGCCAAAAUGUUGUGUAUGAAUUGUAUUUGAAUGGAAUAUUGAUAAAAUGUAUUAAAUUGUGAUAAUAUAGAUCAAGAAAGAAUAAAUAGUGGAAGUGAUCGGGGAAAAGAGAAAGUUAUCGACUAAAUUAUAAAAAUAGUCGUUUUGCAUCCGAGGUAAGUUAUGUGUAAAUAAUAGUAUUAUUUUUUUUUAUAAAUUGUGAAUUAUAUUGAUAUGUGAAUCAAAAUUGAAUGUGGAAGGAAAAUUGUUCAUGAGUUAUUCAAGUGAUAAAGUGUUGAAAUUAAAGUGCUAAGUGUAAAUUCCCAGUUGAACUUAGGAAUAGAAGUGGAUACAAGUGACAUGUCACUAGAGAUCAGUGUUACAGUGUUACAGUGUUACAGUGAGUCCCGGGUGCUGGGUGAUCUAGCAUGUGUUGCAGACACCUAACAGCCUGUGUGAGCAGGCCCGUGGACAUUUCCAGUGUUAUUGAUCAGUGGUAGCUUCGGCUACAUCUCAGUGGUAGCUUCGGCUACAUUCAGUGGUAGCUUCGGCUACAUAUCAGUGUGGCACUUAUGUGCUAAAUCUCUCCGUAUCCGUGUAUAUUCCAAGUGUUCAACGAGAUUAAUAAUGAAUUAAAGUGUAUAUGAAAUGAAGGGUGUAUGCAGGUACAAUUGAAAGAAUGAAUAUAUGUGAUAAAAGUUAAGUGUGAAAAUGUAUAUGCAAGUGAAUUGGUAAGAUUGUGCAUUUGUAAGUGAUUGAAAUUGCUAAGAAAUGUUUUGAUUAGUUAUAAGUUAAAAGUGUUAAUUAUUAAAUGAGUACCUAUUAUUUACAUGUAACUUACUAAGCUAUUAGUAGCUUACACAUUUCUUCUUUUCCUUUGUUUUAUAGUGAUUUGAACUUGAGCGAAUUGGGGAUCGUCGGAGCUCGUAUCACACUAUCAUAAUCAUCUCGGUAUUAUGUGUUUUUCAAAAUGUUUAAACUAUGGCAUGUAUAGAGUCUUAAUCAUUUUGAGUAUGUUCAUAUGAUAUGGCUAAGAUUAGCUAUUGAAAUGGUUAGUAAAGAUUAUGUUUUUGGUAUUAUGUAUGUGUAAAUGGUAGCUAAUACAAAGAAGCAGUUUCUUUGACAGCAGCAGUGAUGUGAAUGUGAAAAAUCACCAUAAAUAAUAGAAAUGUAAUUAGAGAGUGAAUUAUAUAUAGAAUUAAAGCUUAUCAAGUCUAUUUUUAUAUGAAAGAAACGGUGUAGGAAAAGGAAUUCUUUAUUUUGAGAUAUUUGAAUUUUAGUGAGACAGGGUUAGAAUGGUUUUUGAAGUCCCCUGUUCUGACUUUGGAAAAUCAUUAUAAAUUGUACAGAAAGAAUUAUAGGUCAUAAUUUAUAUUUCUAGAUUCCUUAGUGAGUCUAUUUUCAAAAUAAAUAAACAGUAACCUUAUAUGAAUUCUGUACAAUGAGAUAAUUGAUUUUUAGUGCCAAGAGGUCAGAUCUGUUGAGCUGUGAAACAGGGGAUACUUUAAUGAAUAAACUGUACUAAUUGGCUAAGUCAAAAAUUCUAAAACUUUUAUGGAAAGUAGGAAUAUGAGUCUAGUUUCAGGGAAAAUUUACGGAUUUAAAUUUUAAGUUUUGUAACUUGAGUUAUAAGUAAAUUAGUGACAGUCACGCAGGUGGACAGUUUUGUUGUGAACAGUGAAUUUAAUUUUAAAAGCAAAUUUUUAUGCUCCGAAUUGGUAAGUUAGAUUGGAUAACAUCUCGUACUCGAUUCCGAUGACGGUAUCGGGUAAGGGGUGUUACACUACUGCUGCUGUCCAAACAACAACUAAUUUCGGCUUUUCGCAGAAUCUUUUUUAUUUUACGUUUCGGGUACACACCUAGUCUUAUUUGAUGCUAAAAUAGUCCCCGAGAACUCCAAAACCUAUAAUCAAGACACUCAACAACAAUUUAAUGGAUUUACAGGUGAAUUGAAAAAUAAGAACGAAUCGAAACCCAACUUACCACCAACGAUAAUCUUCUGUUAAACUAUUGUUAAGACGAGAACACUGAAUUCACUAGUCUGAGCCUCCCCCUACGCCCAAACCACAGAGAAAAAACAUUACCACUUCAGUUGUUAAAAGAUUCAUGACAGAAACUGUAACACCCCAGACCCGGCCUAGACGUUAUGAUCGAACCCGACGUGUCACAUUGAAGUUUCUUUCCAAAAUAGAACUCAUUGGCAAAAUUCGUUUCCAAAUUUAAAAACCUCUUUGUUAGUGUUUAACAAACAACUAGUCAAAACGUGUGCCUUGUUAUCUGCUAUCAUUAUAAAAGGUUGAUCUAAAAUCGCGGAAGCUGUUGGAAACUCUCAUGUUUAAAUUUCGUGUCUUUGAAAAUAGUAAUUAUUUUGUGAAUUGUUCUUCUCCUAAACUAGCAGUUUAAAAUACGUAAGUAAAAACCCAAUUAAAUAAAAGCAAGUGUAGAACAACUACAGUUGUGUGGCCACUUCCGAGUCCCUCGUAGCACCAAAUCACCUAUGGCUGAGGACUACCUGUAUAGUUAAAAGAAAAGGGUGAGCUUACGAAAACUCAGUGUGUAAUCCCCUAACAAGUAGACAGUCAAUUAAACAAUAGAUAAAUGUAGUUUAGGCCUGAGCCCAUUACAGUAACAAUCCAGUUCAGUGUGGGCCUAAGCCCUGUCCUGUAACAGUAAACGAUUGGGUUUGAGCCCAUCACAAUGUCAGUAAUCAGUAGGGUUUUUGCCCAAUUCCAGUAAUAGUAUCAGUGGAGCCUUGGCCCAUAACAGUAACAGAUAUCAGUCAUACAGUAAACAGUAUGUAAUAUCAUUAAUCGAUGCAGUAACAGUACAAAAUCAUUAAUCAGUGCAGAUAUGCAGUUAGAAAUCCUACCCAAUUCAGCCUCUACACACCACUCCGUCCUGCCAAACACACCAUGUGUGGAUAAAAUUGACCCACCCAGCCAGACACACUAAGAUUAACACCGGUUGCGGGACUAGACAGUAUUACAUCAAAGCUGCCAAUAAAAUAAACGGCAUAUAGCCAUUAGUAGGUCCACAGUCAUCUUGGGCGACCCAUGCAACCUUAUCAGUACGGUACACUUCCUCCAAAUAUAAGAACUCAUCCCCAUGCAAUAUAUCGUGACAUAAUAUCGUACGUGUAUGCAAAAUGUCAUGCUCAAUCAUAGUCAUACAUAUCAUAGAGCAAAUCAGUCAUACAUAACAUAAGACCAUAACAAUCAUUUCAUCUUCUAGGGGUAGAACAGUCAUUUUACCCUUUAGGGGUAUUUCGGUCAUUUUACCCUAUGGGGGUAUUUCAGUCAUUCUACCCUAUAGAGGUAUUUCGGUUAUUUUACCCUAUAGGGUAUUUUGAUCAUUUUACCCUAUGGGGGUAUUUCAGUUAUUUUACCCUAUGAGGGUAUUUCAGUCAUUUUAACCUAUAGGGGUAUUUCAGUUAUUUUACCCUAUAGGGGUAUUUCGAUUAUUUAACCCUAUAGGGGUAUAUCAGACAUUUUACCCUAUGGGGGUAUUUUGGUUAUUUAACCUAUUUUAGAGUCUCGGUACAGAUAUUGACCUCUUAAAAGGUCCGCAGUCGCCUCGAGUGACUCAGGUAACCUAAAUGGUCAUAAUAGUGUAAAUGGGUCCAAGGCCCAUUACUUGGCCUAAGUGGGCUCACACGCUCGUACAGCCCGUUCAGCCCAGAUUUCGCCAUAACUAUGAGAUCUACAUAACUCAGUCCAGUAUUUACCACAAAUCGUGGAUUUUAUCCCUGUGGAGCCCACGAGCCUAUUGGGCCCACACGACCCAUUUCGACCCAACGUGGCCCAUUACGGCCUAAGCCUAUGAAAAUGCUCAUAGAGGCCUUUACAGUCUAUCACCCAUGAUUCGCGGGUUGGGCUUACCACACGAGUGAUCGCACGCCCGUGUGGUCUCAGACACCGUAUUUUUGGCUUUUUGUCGCUUUACAGUUACAGUGGGGUGGUUACACACCUGAUGCGAUUUGCAGAUUCCCUUCGUUCCGAACACUCUUAUUCUAAAAAUCAAUGAUCAUCGCACCCUUGGUUCCCAGGUAAUGUGCCAAUCGACCUUGACCACCACCAGUUAGGAAUGAAGCAAUGCAGGUUGGAGAAAGCGACGAAAACCUUAAAAACCUCGCCGAUCUCCCAUCUAGAACAAUGAACAAAUGAGAUGAUAUAUAUCUCUCCAAAACAACAACCUCCCCAAAUUCCAAUAUUCUCUCCUCAAAUCUCUCUAUGACUAGUUCAAACUCCAUUUAGCAGUAUUUCAAUCCAACUCUACCACCCACACGAAUUAGGCAGAAAAAUAAUUACUCCCUUUUUUGAUGCGCCACCACUCGAAUCUUAGACCCCAUGUACACUCCACACACCUUUUACCACUAGACCAACAACUCCUUUGUAUUAUAUUUUAACUACAAUAAUUUAAGAACCUACUAUCUAGAUCCAAGGAUUUUAUUCACUUAAAAUAAAAAAUUUUCAUAAGCCAAGGCUUGAACCCUUGACUUCUCAGACACUUUCAAACACUCCUAAAUCACUUAACCACUAAAGCAGACAUUCAUUUAUGUCACUUCCUUUCACAACUAAAUAUUUAUGUGUAGUCUCCUAACUGUUCCCUUGUUCAAAACCUAUUUGUUCUAGCCCAAAAUUCGGAGUGUUACAGAAACAAAGAGAAACACUUACCGAAAUUAAGCGAGCACUAAUUGCGUGCAAAAACGAAGGAAAAUAAAUGGAUCAGGGAAAAAUCAAGAAGAAGAAAAAGAAAAGAAAGAUGGAAAAACUCAAAGAAUUUCGCUAAGAGGAGAGGGAGAAGAAUAGACGACAUAAUUUUUUUUGGGAAAGAGAGUCAAAAUUCGGUUAUGGUAAAAAUUAAAAUAAAAUCCUGAUAACCCCCAAAGUCCCUUAAUCUUCUCCCCUAAUUCCCACUACACAUCCACUACUCAGAACCCCCUAUUACACAACUCUAUCUUGAAAUCUGAGUAAAAAAAAUAAUACCCUUGCCUACAUAGGGAUUCGAACACAAGACCUCCACCAUAAUAACACACCAUUUAACCAUCAGACCAACAGACCCAUUCUAAUGUAAUUUACCCAACAAUCAAAUAAAAGCCUACUGAACGAGAGUAAGGCCUAAUUCAUUCAAAAUACCAAAAUUUGUCCAAGUGAAGGCUUGAACGUAGGACCUCCCAAACACUCUCUGAACACAUAACCACUAAAGCUGACAAAUAUUUGUGUCAUAUUUUCACAAUAACGAAUUAAAAAUUUUGGGGCGUUACAACACAUUACGUUCAAUCUGAUAAUCGGCUAAACCGAAGCUCUGAUACCACUAAAUAUAACACCCCUAACCCUUAUUCAUCGCCGAAACAAGGUUACGAAGCAUUACCAAACUUUUUAGAAUAAAUACAAACAGUUCAUAUCAUUUAAUAUACACAUCAGAAACCAAUCAUAAAUCACUCAUAUUGUCUCUUGUAUGAGCCUUUGAGACCCAAAAUAUGCAUUAGAAAUAGAUCGGGACUAAUCCAGAAAAUCAAAAAAAUUUCCCAAAAUUUUAAAAUUUUCCCUAAGUGCAAGGGACACACGCCCGUGUGACCAGGCUGUGUGGCUCACACGGCCAAGAGACACGCCUAUGUCUUAGGCUGUGUGGGCAUUCAAUGUGAGGCACACAGCCGUGUCCCAACCCGUGUCCAUGCCCGUGUAACUCUCUGACUUGGGUCACACGGCCAAGCCACACGCCCAUGUGCUAGGCCGUGUGUAAAAACAUGCGCAUUCUGAUUCUCAAAUUUAAAGAUAUAGGGGACACACAGCUAGACCACACACCCAUGUGCUAGCCCAUGUGUCACACACGGCUGAGACACACGCCCGUGUCUCUGCCCGUGUGGAUGAGAAAAGACCAUUUUAUGGCCACUUUUCUCACUCAAUCUUUGUAUCAACCUAAGCACAACCAUUUACACAUUCACAAAUUACAACAAGACCUUCAAUUCAAGCUAAAACCAAGUUUUAUACCUAACAUAUUAUCACAUAUUUUCAAAUAUCCAAUCUUACCAAAUUAACCAUAUACACAUAUAUGCAUAUUUUACUAAAUUCACUAGCUCAAACAACGCCUCAAUAUGCUUAUUGAAUAUUUAUAAUACUACGUAAAUAUUUAUAAAAAUAUUUAUGGCUUGUUUUAUAAAAUCAAGGUCUUGAUACCUCAUUUUCUAAACCACUUAAUCAAAUAAAUCCUUAUAAAACAUAAAUUACUAAUUCAAAAAUCUUCAAAAAACCAUAUUUGACUCGUAAAUACUAAAUAAUAAAAUUUAUGAGCUUACUCGUCGGAUUUAGUGGUCUCGGACCACUAUUUCUGACACCACUAAAAAUCAGGCUGUUACAUCUUAUGCAUUUCAUAAGUGUCAAUCGUCUGUGUGCUUGUGUCAUGGGUUGCACAGGGGAGUCCAUAAUCAUGAUGUACUUAAGUGAUUCAUCAUGUUCAAGGGAAGUUACUUGGUUUAACCGAACUAGCUUGUUGCUUGGAGAGAUUGAAGGCCCAUUUAUAAAGCAUGGCAAAUAUGAAACGUAAUCUUCAAAAAUAUGCAAUCUUGGGAUGAUUUGUAAUCUUAGAAGAUAUGAUUCUGUAAAUCUUAGAGAUUUGAUUUUGUAAAUAGUUAAUCUUACCUGUCUAUGUACUUUAAUCUGUACCGUUGAAUUUGGGGAGGCUCAACUAUAAAUAGAGGUCUCCCCCCUUCAUUGUAGAUCGCUUCAGUUUAUUGAGUAAUAGAAUUUUUAAGAGCAUUCACUAAAACACUCUUUUGUGCUUUUGUGCUUUUACUUUUCUGUGGCUUUUCUCAUCUUUCAAGUUCUUUCAUCUUUUUAGUUGCUUUUGCUUUGCAUUGGUGUGUUAAAGGAAUUCUAUUUGAAUCAUCAAUUGUUGGGAGUUAGUUUGAUUUAGGCGUUUUUGAAUAAAAGAAAUUGCCUAAGGCUACAUGAAUUGCGAGACUAAAGUUCUAGCCCCAUGACACUUCCAUUAUUAUAGUUCUAUUAUACCUCCAUCUGUGUUAAGACAUAUGGUAAGUCAAGAAGAUGUAUGAACAGUAAGUUAGCUAUCAACAAGUCGAGAGGUCACUUGCGAGCUCACUCGCCAUAUUUCUCUUCAAGUCCUCAUCACCGUCAUUCUCCAUAACCUCUAACUCUUCGCCUUGAUUGAAUAAAUCGACAUCCAAAACAACCUCCAUGUUCCUUCUUUAUUGUAUCACUAUUUCAACCAGUUGUAUGUUUAUAAAUAAAUAAUUUGAAUAAAGGAGGCCCAAAGAUAGAAGAGACAGCUAGGCUGUCAGAUGUUAUUGUCCAAUUGAUUAAGGCUAAAUUAAACACUUUAGUUAGCACACAAAUGCCUACUUUAAUUACUUAGCGUUGAAUGCUCUAAUUGCUUCAAUUUUUAAUUAAUUCAAUAAUUAUGAUUAAUAAGUAAAAUGUUUGAUUUGAUGAUAAUUUUAGGGUUUGAAGUUUUUAAAAGUUUUUCUUAAUUUUUAGUUAAUUGUGAGUAAGUUUUAUUAAAAUUCAAUUAAUCAAUAAUUAUUUUAAAUUUUUAUAUUAAACUAUAAUUAAUAUAUUAUGUUUUGUUUAUUAUAAAAUUUAUAUACGCUAAUUUUCAGCAUAACGUGUUGCACGUGAUAUGCAUAUUUAUUAAUUCCAUUUUUAAAAUUUUAAUAUUAAUUUUUUUAACAUUUUAUACUGUAAAUAUAUUUGUAUUACAAGAAACAAUAUGUGAAUAGAGAGUCCAAGUGAGAAUGAAAAUGUAAUUGAAGUUAAGUAUAAAGUGUAAUUUAAUAUUUAUUAAAUUUCAACUCAUUUAAAUUUUUUAUUUAAUUAUUUUAAUAUGAUAAAAAAUAUUAAUAUAUAAAAUGCAUCCUACUUAAAUACUUUGAGAACAAUAACUCUAUCUUUAUAAUUCAUAUAAAUAUCUUAAAAUUAAAAAGUAUUUUUAGCAUUGAAAAUUUGAUUUAAUUUGAAUUGAAGAACUUUUUUUACCAAGUAAUAGAGAAAAUGAAAACAAAUCGAGAUCGUUAGUUUAGGUACUAAAACAAAGAUAUCAAAACUACGUCGUUAAGUUAAAAUAUUGGUGGAAUUUACAAAAUAAUGUUAUUAUUUACAAGAAAAAUUCAUGUUAGAUUUUUGUUUGUCAUUUUAAAAGGAGUGACUAAAAUAAUUGAAUUAUACAAUAUGAGUAUCUAAAUUGCAAAUUUUUUUAUUUGAGAGCCUAAAAUGAAAAAAAUUAAAAAUUUGAUGAUCAUAUAUGUAGUUUACUCUAUUUUAUUUACCUUUCACUUUUCAAAAGAGUUUUAGUAUCAAGGAGUCAAACCACUAAAAUUUUAAUAACGAAAUUUUUUUAUAUAUAUUUUUAAAAUUAAAUAUUUUAGAAAGAUAUUUUCCUCAAUUAUUUUUCUUUUGAAUUAAAAUCUAGGACAUAGUUAUAAAAAAAUGGACCCUAGCCCGAUGUUAAUUACAAAAACCGAAGAAAAACAAAACCCACAUUUGGGCUCACAAAUCCUAAAUAAAGCAAAAGCCUAAAUCAAGCCCAAAAAAACAUAAAAGACCUAAGUCCAUCGGGCCUCAUUCUGAAAAAACUCCAAUGCCCAGCAUAGGUUUUCAAAAUUUUAAAAGUCUUUUAUCAUUUGCGAGGCUUUCUCAUUGAUUACCUGCACCAUCUCCAGAAACUCUUUUCCACCUCAAUUGUCUUUUCAUACGCCCUGUUCCCCUCAUUACUCCUAUUGUUUCUCCUUUAUCAUCAAAAUAUUUACUGUUUCCUCCCCAUUUCUGUUUAGCCUCUCGUCUCUUUCCAACGUUGUUAAACUCCUUAUGUCUUCCUCCAGUGCUAACAUGGCCUUUCUCGGUAGCCAAUAUCCCAGGUCAGUACUCCUAAGACACUCAACUGCUCCUUUUGCAAGUUCAUGAGCAACUCCGUUACUAGAUCUAGAUAUUUUUUGAAAACGACAUUCCUCAAAACCUGUGCUUAAUAUUUGAAUAUCCUGAAUGUACGAACAUAAAACUGACCGAUCCUCUUUUAAUGCCUUUACUCUCCUUCAAUGAUAACCCGUCGGAGUUCCAUUUCUAACCCCGCCUGAACUGCUAGUAGACAGGCUAUUGCCUCCACCGCAAACGGUGUAAGAACUCCCUCAUUAACUAACAUUUUAGCACCCAAGUUUUCUUCUUUUGAAUUCCUAAAGAUUAUUCCUGUCCCUAAUUGCUUCCUUUGUUUGUUGUAAGCCUCAUCGAAGUUUAUUUUGGUUAUACUUUGGUCCGGUGGUGUCCAACGUUCAUUGUUAUUGACCCUCCCUGGUAAGUUAUUUUUUACAACUAACCAUUCUUCUAAAUAUUUCCCUAUAAAACAUACAGUUUCUAUGGCUAAUUGUUGUAUUUUUUUCAUGCAAUACUCUAUUUCGUCCCAUCCAUAUCGCCCAAAUGGUGGCAAACAAUAGUUGUUUCUGUUGGUCGCUACUUCUCGUAAGAUGUUCCCUUAUCCAUUCCUGUAGAGUAUCAUUUAAUGUUAUUUCCUGUAUCUCGAAGUUGAGUUCUGACCAUACCUCUUGUAUUACAGAAUAGUCCCUAAUUGCAUGCUCCAAAAUCUCUAGACCCUCCUUGCAUCUUGGGCACAUCGUUGAGUUACUAAUUUUUCUGUUGUAUAAAUUUCCAAAUGUAGGGAUAUAGUUGUUGCAUAUUCGCCAGUUUAUAAUUCUAAUUUUGUUUGGGAGAUUUGUAUGCCAAAGGUGGUUGUAAAAUUCUCUACAUGUGUUGUCAUUAUUAGCCAUUCUUGGGUUUGUAUUUUUCGUCAAUAAGUUUCUGUAGCUGCUCCUUACUAUAUAUCCCCUCGUAAGUUCGCCACUCCAGACCCUUUUUUCCUCUUGUGGGUGUCUCGCCAAAGGAAUCUCCAUGAUCACCUCUGUUUUUUUGUUACUAAAAAGUCUGGUGAUUACUUGCUCCUUCAACUAUCUUGAAUUUAAAUCAAUAUGCCACUUUUGUUACACUAUAAUCACUGACUGACUCUUAAAUUCUUUGGCUUUCCAGUUCAGGAACCUAAGCAUCCUUGUAACAGUCCGUUUUUAGUGAAAUUAGAACAGUGGUUUCGGAACUACAAAUUCGAGUCAGGAAAAAAUUUUAUUUUAAUAUUAUUGUAUGGUCUGCAUUAUGAUAGGACAGACGUACGGAAUUUUUUAUAAGAAAAUUUUAUUGAUUUCAUUUUUAAUUGUUAGUAAGGACCAAAUUACAUAAAGUGUAAAAAUUGAAUUCUAGUAGUUAAAAGGAUUAAAUAGUUAUGAAAUUCAAAAUUUGAGAUCCUUAUAAGGAAAAUAGACCAUUAAGAGAAGUUACUAGAUAUUUAUGAUGAUUCAUCCAUAGAAAUUUAAGAAAAGAAAAAGACUAAAUUGAAAAGUGGGAAAAAUAAAAGAUGAUAGUUAAUUAAAAUAUAAAAAUAUCAUUUUAUAUCAUCAUCUUCUCCUAAAUUUUCUAUGGAAACCCUAGCUAAGAGAGAGAACUUCAAGCAAGCUUAAUUGGGUAGGCAAUCAAUCCCCGUUUUUAGAAAUUUUUACAUUUUCGAUAUUGUAAUCACUUAAUCUAUCUAUUUUGGCGAUCAAUUUGCAAAGUUAUCAAAGUAUUAAAAUUUUGCCUUGGGUUAGUAUGCUAAAAUUUUGAAAUUUAUAGUAGAAAAUGAAAAGUUAUUGAUAGAUGAAUAACUUUUGUAAAGGAAAUUUUCAUGGAAUUAUGAUUUACGGAUUUAAUUGAAAAGAUGUAAAAUUCAUGAAAAAAUUAUAAAUUUUUUGAAAUACAUGUACUGUUAUUGUUAUAUGAAAAAUUCGGCUAGGCUUGAAAUAAGGAUUAAAUUGCAUGAAUUUUAUUUUUCGAGUCUAGGGACGAAAUUAUCAUUUAUUAAAAGUAUAGGGGCAAAAUGGUAAUUUUGUCUAGAAUGUGAAUUAGAUUGAUUUGAAUAUUAAAUGUGUUAAAUUGAGGUUAAAUUCAUUUAUAUAGAUUAAGAAAGAUCAAAUAAAGAGUUAGAUCGAGAAAAAGAAAAGUAUCGGAUUAGUAGAUUUCCGCAUACGAGUAAGUGACGAGGUAAGUUCGUAUAACUAAAUUGUGUACAUUUAUAUUUUGGAAUUAAAUGUUAUAUAUGUGAAUUGAAUAAUUUCCAAUUAAUGAAAUUGAUUAAAUAUUCGAAAAUGCUUGAUAAAUGUUAAGUUCCGUUUGAACAAAUGAACAUCGAUGGAUAAAAGUUUCCCGUAUUAGUUGUAGUCCUCAUAUGUUACGGACACAAUACAGCUCGAAAGAGUGUCCAGUUAAUAGCUCUCUUGAGCUUCCCGUUAUAUUGUUCUUGCAAGCUUUCCGUUAAUAGUUCUUCGGAGCCUCCCAAUUGGUUAUGAUCCUAUAUGUGUUGUGGACAUACCACAGCUCAUAUGACUCUUUGUGAGCUUCCCGAUAAGGCUCGCUUGAAAUUCUCGAUAUUAAGCUAUUCGAAGCUUCCUGUUAAUGGCUCUUCGGAGCUACCCGAUAUUAGCUCACAUGAGCUUCCUGAAUAUGGCUCUUAUGAGCUUCCUGGUAUAAGGCCUCGGAUAAGCUUCCCGUUUCAUGGCUCACAUGAGCAUCCCGUUAUAUGGUUCGAGAGAGUGUUUCCUGUUUAAGUGUUCUUAUGAACACUUCUGAAUAUUAAUUGACAAAUUACUGAUUCGUACACUUCACGUGUACUACCCGAUAUCUAUCGAUGUUUCAUAAGGUUCAAUGAGUAAAGUUCUGAUAUAAGUUAAGAUAAGGUCUGAAUGAAUUAAUAAUUGUAUCUACCUGAAAAUAUAUGGAAAUGUUUAUACGAUGAGCUCAUCUCUGUUACUUACUUGAAAUGUAUUUGAAAUUUAUGACUAACUUGCUUGAGGAUGUAUAUGUGUUAGGUUAUUGGUUAAUUUGAUUUGGAUGUACUUUGUAUGCUUAAUUUAAAUUAAUAUGAAUUGGUAAGUCAAUUUCCCGUUAUACGAACUUACUAAGCAGAAUAUGCUUACUCUGUUUUAUUUCCUCUAUUUUAUAGUACUUGGAAGCUCGUGAAGGUUGGAACUUAGUCGGAGACACAUCACACUAUCUCUCGGACUUUUCAGUAUAUAAAGUAAGCUAACUUUUAGUAUAAUGGCAUGUAUAAGCUAAGUUAGGCAUAUUGAUGAAAUAUUUUGGUUGUAACUAGCUAUUGGAAUGGCUAGUGUAAGGCUUAUUUUGAUAUAAUUAUAUAAGGCCUUAACAAGUUUGAUGUGUGAUAAAAUGGUGAUAUGAUGGGAAAUAUACAAACCUAUUGAUGAAUGGUUUUGAAUUAGCAUAAUUGAUAAAGUAUGCAUAUAAGCAUAAAUGUUUUUUUGGUAAGUUUAACACUUGAACAUAUGAGAUAAUAUGUCAUGUAUAAAAUUUGGUAUUGGCAUUGAUUUGAGGGUUAUUAAUUGGCUUGUGAAUGUGUUUGAAUAAUGUUGUAGGUGAAAGGCAAAUUGGGUAAGAAAAGUGGUUUGGCUGUGUGUCCCAUGUACUUAAUUUUUGAAAAUUAAAUUGUCCACAUAGCCUAGCACACGAGCUUAUGGCUGGCUGUGUAACCCAAGUCAGAGAGUUAUACGGGUAUGGAAACGGGCUGGGAAACGGCUGUGUGCCUCACAUCGAAUGCCCACAUGACUUGGCCAUACGGGCGUGUGUCUCCUGCACUUAAGAAAAAUUUUGAAAUUUCACGAAAAAUUCUCUGAGUUCCCGAUUUAUUCUCUACUUGUGUCAAAUACAUAAAUUGGGCCUCGAAGGUUCAUUUAAGGGAAAAUAUGAUUAUUUUCGGAUAUGAAUAGUAAAUGACAUGAAUUAAUUGUAUUUAUUCUGUAAACUUUGGUAAUGCUCCGUAACCCUGUUCUGGCGACGAAUUUGGGUUAGGGGUGUUACAUUUGUUGGUAUCAGAGUUAUGGUUUAAUCGAUUUUCUGACUAACUAGUAAGUAUGAGUUUAGCUAUACAUGCAAUUAUAUAAUUUGUGAUAGUGUGAUCUCCUAACCAUUUUAAACAUGUUUUUCAUAUAGUAAUGUCGUCCAAUCGAGUUGAAUCAAAGGAAGCUGAGAGCAAUGCUUAAGGUUCAGUUCCAAGAGUUGCUUCCAGUAGUAGAAGGCUCGUAUCUGAGGGCCGAGGUGAGGAGGCUAAGGAAACUUUCUUUCAAAUGAUUAAUGAAUGGUUCACUGAAUAUUUGAGAACAAAUCCUGCUGUACAACAACCUCUCCCUCCUGCUCUUCAACCAGUUUUUGAUAUGUCAUAAGGUGUGGAAUCUGUUAGAACUGGUAAGCCUUCGGUAGAUAAAAUUCAUAAAUAUGGGGCAGGAGAAUUUAGGGCCAGUGUUGAAGAAGAUCCAAAAAAGGGCUGAAUUUUGGUUAGAUAACUCUAUCAGAGUUCUGGAUGAAUUGUCUUGCAUACUUGAUGAAUAUUUGAAAUAUGUUGUAUCUUUGUUAAAAGACUUAGCCUAUUAGUGGUGGAAUACACUGACUUCUGUUGUACUGAGAGAAAGUGUUACAUGGGAAUUUUUCCAAACAGAAUUCAAAAAGAAGUAUAGUAGUCAGAGAUUUCUUGAUCAAAAAAGGAAGGAAUUUCUAGAACUCAAAUAGGGGAAUACGACUGUAUCUGAGUAUAAGUGGGAAUUUGUCAGAUUAAGCAAAUAUGCCAGAGAGUGUAUCCCGACUGAAGUUGCUAUGUGCAAACUGUUUGAAUAGGGGUUAAAUGAAGACAUUUAGUUGUUAGUUGGGAUUUUACAAUUAAAUGAAUUCGUUGUAUUGGUUGAUCGAGCACAUAAAGCUGAAGAAUUAAGUAAAGAAAAGAGACAGGCAGAAAUAGAAACUCGGGCUUUGAGCAAAAGAUUUAUGGAGAAGUCUUAAUCGUCGGCUUUAAAGAAACCGAAGAAAUAUCUUGAUCAUUCUGUCACAUAUACAGGGUAUUCUAGGAGAGAUCGAGGUACUUAACGUUCUAAUCCGAGAUCUUCGGCCACAUCAAUAGCAAGUGUUAGAAGUGUCGGAAGUCUAAAACCCAAAUGUAAAUAUUGUAAUAAAUUGCAUUCUAGUGAGUGACGCAUGAGAAGCGAAGCCUGCUUUAAAUGUGGUUCUCUUGACCACUAUCUCAGAGACUGCCCGGAGAGGCUUGAAAAAGAUAUUGUUUAGACCUCAAGGCUGAGCAACCCCACUUCGAGAGGUAGACCGCAUCGUCACCCCGGUAAUAUAAGUGGUAGUCGAGGUAUGACAAAAGAUUUAACUGUUAAAUCUGAAGCACGAGCAACGACAAGGACAUACGCUAUUUAUGCACGUGAGGAUGCCUUUGCACCUAACGUGAUUGAUGGUACAUUUUCUCUUCUUGCUAUUGAUAUUUCUAUUUUGAUUGAUCUUGGUUCAAUAGAUUCAUACAUAUGCACGAAUUUAGUGUCUGUUAAAAUUUACCUAUUGAGUCCAUUGAAUUCGUGGUUAAAGUUUCAAAUCCCCUGGGCCAGUAUGUGAUGGUGGAUAAAGUUUAUAAAAAUUCUCCGUUAUUGGUGUGGGGUUAUUGUUUCUUGGCUGAUUUGAUGUUGUUGCCAUUUGAUGAAUUUGAAAUAUUUCUGGGAAUUGAUUAGCUAACUCAACAUGAUGCACUGGUAAAUUGUAAACAAAAAUAUAUUGUAUUAAAAUGUCAGAAUGAUAAAUUGCUCUAUAUUGAAUCUGAUAAACUGGAUGGGUUGUCUAAUGUGAUACCAGCUGUGUCAGCACAGAAAUAUAUCAGGAAAGGGUAUGAUGCCUAUCUUGCAUAUAUGUUGGACACUAAAGUAUCUGAAUCAAAGAUUAAGUCAGUACCGGUUGUUUGUGAAUUUCCUGAUGUGUUUUCGGAGGAAUUUCCCAGAUUACCGCCAGUAAGAGGUGGAAUUUUUCAUAGAUCUUGUUCAGGGAACAACACCGAUAUCUAUAGCACCCUACAGAAUAGCUCUGAAGGAAUUAAAAGAAUUGAAAGCACGGUUGCAAGAAUUGGCUGACAGAGGUUUUGCUCGACCUAGUUCUUCACCUUUGAGUGUGCCGAUUUUGUUUGUUAAAAAGAAAGAUGGAUCUUUGAGAUUAUGCAUUGAUUAUUGGUAACUCAACAAAGUCACAAUAAAAAACAAGUACCCAUUGCCUCGUAUUAAUGAUUUGUUUAAUCAGUUAAAGGUGUCAAUGUAUUUUCAAAGAUUUAUUUUCGUUUCGGUUACUAUCAACUACGGGUGAAAGAGUCAAAUAUGCCAAAGACAGCAUUUAGAACCAAGCACGGGCACUAUGAGUUUCUUGUAAUGCCGUUCGGUUUGACGAAUGCACCUGUGAUAUUUAUGGAUUUAAUGAAUAGAAUUUUCAGACCAUAUUUAGAUAGAUUUGUGGCGGCAUUUGUUGACGAUAUUUUAGUAUAUUCCUGGGAUGAAAAUAAACAUGCUGACCAUCUGUGAAUUAUAUUGCAAACUUUGCAUGAGAAACAACUGUAUAACAAAUUUUGUAAAUGUGAAUUUUGGCUUCGGGAAGUUAGUUUUCUUGGGCAUAUAGUAUCUGCUGAAGGCAUCAAAGUGGACUCGAAUAAAAUUUCAGCAAUUGUUAAUUGGAAACCACCAAAAAAUGUCUCUGAAGUCAGAAGUUUUCUAGGACUAGCUGGAUAUUAUCGGAGGUUUGUGAAAGGAUUUUCUAUGAUAGCUUCUCCGAUGACUCAUUUGUUGAAGAAAGAAGUGAAAUUUGAGUGGACUGAUAACUGUUAGCAGAGUUUUGACAGAUUGAAAGCUUUGUUGAUUGAAACGCCCGUGUUAGUUCAGCUUGAAUCGAGUAAGGAAUUUGUAAUUUACUGUGAUGUGCCAUGGAAUGGCUUGGGCUGUGUCUUGAUGCAAGAAGGUAAAGUAAUAGCCUAUACUUUUAGGCAGCUAAAACCACAUGAGAAGGACUACCUGAUACAUGAUCUAGAAUUGGCAGCCAUUUUGUUUGGUGAAAAAUGUCAUAUGUUCACCGAUCAUAAAAGUUUGAAGUAUUCGAUGUCGCAAAAAGGCUUGAAUUUGAGACAGCGCAGAUGGCUUAAGUUAUUAAAAGAUUAUGAUCUAGUUAUUGAUUAUCAUCCGGGAAAAGCCAUUGUGGUUGUUGAUGCUCUAAGCAGAAAACCGUUGUUUGCCUUAUGAGCAAUGAAUACCCGAUUGUCAUUAUCUGAAGAUGGUUCAAUCACAACUGAGCUAAAAUCUAAACUGACAUUUCUACAACAGAUUUGUGAAGCUCAAAAAAAUGAUGAUGAAUUACAAGCUAAACGGGUACAAUGUGAGUCAAACUCCGAUUUAGAAUUUCAGAUUGGGUUUGAUGAUUGCCUGUUAUUUAGAGGCAGAAUUUGUGUACCGAAGAAUUCAGAACUUUUACGGAAGAUAUUAAACAAAGCUCAUAAUGGUAUUAUGUCUGUUCAUCCGGGGAAUAACAAAAUGUACCAUGAUUUGAAAAAGAUGUACCGGUGGCCGAGAAUAAAGCGUGAUAUUUCUGAAUUUGUAUCUAGAUGUUUAGUAUGUUAGCAAGUUAAAGUUGAACAUCAGGUGCCUUCGAGAUUAUUAUAGCCAGUUACGAUACAAGAAUGGAAAUGGGAAAGAGUUACCAUAAACUCUGUAUCAAGGUUACCCCUAUCUCCGAAAAAGAAAGAUGCCAUUUGGGUAAUUGUUGACCGUUUAAUGAAGUCUACACAUUUUAUUCUAGUAUGUAUGGAUUUCUCCCUGGAUAGGUUAGUAGAGUUAUAUGUUUCUGAGAUUGUCAGGCUAAAUGGAGUACCAGUCUCCAUUAUUUCUGAUAGUGUAACAAUCCGAUUUUGGGUCUAGUUGGAACAGUAGUUUCGGGACCACAAAUCUAACGAGGAAAAUUUUAUUUUUAUUAUAUUUUUAUGGUCUACAAUUUUACAGAAUUAUUCUGUGAAAAUUUCGUACGAAAAUUUUGACGUUUGGGCACUUAAUUUAACCAAAAGGAUUAAAUCGUAAUAAGUGUAAAACUUGAGUUCUAGAAGCUAGAGGUAUUAAAUAGCUAUAGAAUUUUUAGUGGAAGUCCUUAUAUGAUAAUUAGCCUAUUAAUAAGUUAGUGGAAGAUAUUUGUUUGGUAUUUUUGAAAUUAGUUUGAAAAAAAGGGUAAAUUGGUAAUUAACUUAAUAAAGGUAUAAUAAGACAAAAUUUAAAAGCUAUCAUCUUUUUCCUUUCUUCUUCAACCAUUUAUGAAGAAAAUGGGUAGGCAUGGAUGAGCAAACAUUCGGCCAAGCUUCUAUGGCCCAUCUAGACCAAGGAAGACGAGAUUUGGACUUAGAACGGAAGAAAAACAACGAAUAUGACGAAUAAGUCCUUUUCACCAAUUAUGCUACCGAGGUAAGUUCGUAUGUAAAUCAUGCAACAUCACAUUAUUAUGUAUUUAAUGUUUUCAUAUAGCAUGAAUUCUAUAAUUGUUUUAUGAAUUCGAUUGAUGAUGUCCCGAUAUCAAUUUGAGAUCCCGUAUAAGACCAUAACGCACUAUGAACAUAAGACAAUGGUUGGACCAUAGCAGUGUUUAUGUGUAAGACCAUAGCUGGGCUAUUGGCAUCGAUUUGAGAUUUCGUGUAGGACCAUAGCUGGGCUAUUGGCAUUGAUACGAGAUUUCCAUGUAAGACCAUGUCUGGGACAUCACAUUGGUACGAUACAUUAUGUACGAGUUUUCCCGAGUAUCCUUAGUAUUCCAAGUGGUUCAACGGGUGAUCCAAAGAUUAUGUCAAAUAAAAGACAAUGUAUGAUUAUGUUGAAAGGAUACAGGUAUGUACGCAAAAUUCAUGAGUAAUGAACUCGAUGUAUAUUGGACAUUUGGCAAGAAUGUAAAUGAGUAAGUCAUACUUAUGAGAAUGAUCUUGUGAUGACCUUGUGAUUAUAGGUAUAUACUUAUGAGGUAUAACUGUCACGGGCCGCAGUUCAAAGCCCGUGACCAGCGCACCAAAUGCAUCCAAUGGAGGUCUGUUGCUCAGAUGGGGAUCAUUUGGCCCACAAGAACUAGCCCAAUUCAAAGAGAUAUUGGAUAAGCCUGUCAGAUUGAAGCCUGGUUGGCCCGAUAGCGGAGAGAUGGCAACUUAGGCUAAUAUGGUAACUAAUCUUAGAAGAUAGAUGGAAUCAUAUAUUGUAAAGAUUAUAUUAGAUUUGAUAAGGCUUAUCUUGUAAAUCCCUAAAAUUAAGGGAUAUGGUUAAAUCUCAUCCGUCGAUGUAAUUGUAUCUUGACCGUCGGUUUUGGGGGAGCUCAACUAUAAAUAGAGAGCCUCCCCCUCAUUUGUACUCACUCCUGAAUUGUUUCAUUAUUCUUUGUGAAUAAGAAUUAAGAGCAUUUAUUCAAACACUUUGCGAGCACUCUUUCUGUUGUUCUUUUGUAGCUUCUUUUGGCACAAUCGCUUCCGCUAUAUAAAUUGGUGCCUUGGAGGAACUAUAAGGAAUCCUCACUUUUGGGCGUAAAGGCUGACUUAGGCGAGUUUGGAGCAAACGGAUCGCCUAAGGCCACACGAUUUGCGAGACGAAAGGUCUAGCCCUGUGACAAGUGGUAUCCGAGCCAAGUGAUAUCUGAGUUGUUGGUUCAAAGGCACCGUUGGGAUGUCGAAAGAAGACUUCGAACAAAGGUGGGCGAGGAAGUCUUUGAGGGAGACAUUAUCGGCAGUAGAAGAACCUGUGGGAAAACUCGAGGGAUCUAUGGACGAUGUAAAGGAGGCACUCGAUGGGGUCGAGGAUCGCAUAGCAAACUGGAAGGAGCAGUCUAGAGACUAUGUAAAGAUGUCUCUUGGUUCCACCAUGGAUAAGGUAAACGAGUUGUUUAAUUCACACAGGGAUAAACUAUCAGACAGGAAUGAUGCUCUCGAGGCCAUGAUGAUGGCUUUGAAGGAGGAAACAAUGGCCACGACGAGGGCUUUGAGCACAAGAAUAGAAGAGCUCGAGGGAGAGCUGGCAUUGUGUCAAACAGCCGUGGGGAAAGGAGUGGCAAAUGCAGCACUCAGUAACGAGGAUGUCCCAAAGCCGAAAGAGUUUGUGGGGACAAGGUCUGCAUGUGAUGUGGACAAUUUCUUGUGGAGGAUGAAAAACUACUUCCGUGCCAAAGGCAUCAUGGAGGAUGCGGUUAAGGUAAACACUGCUUCAAUGUUUCUUACUGACAUUGCGCUUUUAUGGUGGCGAGGUAGGACUACAGAUAAAAGGCAAUGUGAGAUUUGGACGUGACAAGAGUUCCAAUGCGAGUUGAAGGGACAGUUUUACCCAGAAUUUGUCGAGGAAGAAGCUCGGGCAAAGUUGCAAGGGAUAAUGCAACGGGGCACAGUGGGGAAGUAUGUUCGAGAGUUCAAGGAACUCAUGCUCCAAGUUUCAGAUGUGACCGAUGAAGAAGCAUUGCUUGCAUUUCAAAAGGCAUUGAAGCCGUGGGUCAGACAGGAGGUGGAACAAAGAGGUGUCCAAAAGUUGUCGGAAGCCAUGACGGUAGUUGAGUCCGUGUUUAAGCUUGGUCUAGGGAAAGACAAGCUUGGGUCUUCCAAGUCCGAUGAAAGGGGCGUAUGUGAAAUGGAUCACAAGGAAGAUAGAGUUAAUGGCAAUGGCAACGGUGACAAUGGUGGUAAUGGGAAACCACGAGUUGGGAAGAAGAAACCCAAGAAGAAAAUGGACAAGCUAAAAUGCUUUCUCUGUGACGGUCCACACAUGUUGAAGAAAUGUCCGAAGAAAUCCGCGCUUAAGGAAAAGCCGGUGGGUAAGGUCUUGGUACUUGGUUCGAGCGCAAGGUGUGUCGAAGCCAAGGAGGCCGAAAGCGAGAAGAAGCCAGUGGAGUGCUCUUGUGUCAUGGUCCGCAUAGGUUGCGGAAGUGUCCGAGGAAGUCUUUCAUCGAGGGGAACGAUGGAGCAGACAAUGAGCCCAAGAAGCUUGGUUCGAGCAAGAGAAAAGCCGAAGCUAAGAGGGCAAAGAGGAGCAAAAAGAAGCGAGUAAAAUGCUUCUUGUAUCGUGGUCCGCAUGAGUUGCGGAACUGUCCAAAGCAAGCCGGAGUCAAAAGAAAGGCAACGUCUGAGCUUGGUGAGUCGUCGGAGGGGCUUCCACACAAGGAAGAGGUGAGUUGUCAUCGAACUUAGUGGAGAAAGUUGCAAUGAAAACAGUGAAGCUAGGACCAAUGAGGCUCAAGUUGAGUGAAGCGUCAGAGUUGGCCGAGUCAUCGACAAGGCUUCCACCUAUGGGAGAGGUGGGUGAUGCAUCAGACUUUAAAGGAAAGGAAGCGAUACAUGUGAGACAGUUGACCAGAGUAAAUGCAGCGAGUAGGAAGGCUCGAGUUAAGAAGCGACGUAAGCUGAGGCAAGAGUCCCGAAAGAAGGGAAAGGCUAAGGCGUCGAGACGAGACCGAGGCGAAUCAAGUCAGUGCCAUUCAGAAGUCGCAACGAGGACGUUGCGAGAAUGGGUGGGGGAGAAUGUUACGGGCCGCAGUUCAAAGCCCGUGACCAGCGCACCAAAUGCAUCCAAUGGAGGUCUGUUGCUCAGAUGGGGAUCAUUUGGCCCACAAGAACUGGCCCGAUUCAAAGAGAUAUUGGACAAGCCUGUCAGAUUGAAGCCUGGUUGGCCCGAUAGCAAAGAGAUGGCAACUUAGGCUAAUAUGGUAACUAAUCUUAGAAGAUAGAUGGAAUCAUAUCUUGUAAAGAUUAUAUUAGAUUUGAUAAGGCUUAUCUUGUAAAUCCCUAAAAUUAAGGGAUAUGGUUAAAUCUCAUCGGUCGAUGUAAUUGUAUCUUGACUGUCGGUUUUGGAGGAGCUCAACUAUAAAUAGAGAGCCUCCCCCUCAUUUGUACUCACUCCUGAAUUGUUUCAUUAUUCUUUGUGAAUAAGAAUUGAGAGCAUUUACUCAAACACUUUGUGAGCACUCUUUCUGUUGUUCUUUUGGAGCUUCUUUUGGCACAAUCGCUUCCGCUAUAUAAAUUGGUGCCUUGGAGGAAUUCUAAGGAAUCCUCACUUUUGGGCGUAAAGGCUGACUUAGGCGAGUUUGGAGCAAACGGAUCACCUAAGGCCACACGGUUUGCAAGACGAAAGGUCUAGCUCCGUGACAUAAGUAUGUGGUAAAUUUGAUUGAUAAUUGUGUGAGGCUUGUAGGCCAACUUAAAUUGAGACAUGAUAUGUUUAAGUCUCUGUUGAUGUAUAGGUGAAAUUGGCCAAUAAAUGGCAUGUAAAUAUAUGAUAAUGAUUAGCUAUUGGAAUGGCUAGCUAUGGAUAUACUUUGGUGUUAUGCAUGUCUAAAUAAAUGUUAAUACAAAGAAAUCAUGAAAGAGUAAAAUUUGCAAUAAAACAGUUUUGGAUAGUAGCAGUUGUAUAACUUUGAAAAAUCACCAAAAAUUGUGAGAAUCAUAUUAGAGGUUGAAUAAGACACGAAAUUAAAGCUUUAUUGAGUCUAGUUUCACAUAGAAGAAAUGGUGUAAGUAAAAGAAUCUCAUAUUAUGAGAUAUUUGAAUUUUUGUGAGAUAAAGUCAGAAUAAUUUCGGAAUCCCCUGUUCUGACUUUGAAAAAUCAUUAAAAAUAUUAUAAAAAGAAUUAUGGGUUAGAAUUUAUAUGAUUAAAAUUAUUAAUAAUUAUAUUUUCAAGAGAAAUAAACGAGAACAUCAUCCGAAUCUCGUACUAAGAGAUAAUUAUUUUUUAGAGAAGAAGGGUCGGAACUGUCAAAUAGCAGAACAGGAACGAAUUUGAAGAAUUAACUAUACUUAUUGGCUAAAUGAAAAAUUCUGAAAAUUUUAUAGUAGGAAGAUAUGUGAGUCUAGUUUAGGGAAAAUCAAGCAGAUCUUAAUUUGGAGUUCUGUAGUGUAAGAUAUAAAUAAUUUAGUGACUAUGACUCGAGUAAACAGCUUGAUGUGAACAUAAGUAAAUAGUGGAACUAUGUGCAAUUAUGAUUGUGUAAUCUUGAAAACAUAUUGUGAGGAUUGGUAAAAGCAUGUUAACAGAUUGCUUAUUAUUUACAUACCAACUUACUAAGCUAUAUAGCUUACCCCCUUUCUUUCUUUUUCCUAUAGUGUCACAGAUACUAGCUCGGGUUGGAGAUCGUCGGAGAUUCUAUCACAUUGUCAAGCUAUUGAUCGUUAUUAACGUAUUCAAGCAUUUUAAUUUGAUGACAUGUAUAAGGACUCAGUCAUUUUGUGCAUGAGUUAUUAUGUUUUAGCCAAAUGUUUUGGCUUAUUAUUGUUAAAGGUUUUGUUUAUGUGCAGCCACGUACCUUGGCUUAUACUGACUAAUUGGUUGUAAGCCUAUAUACAAAUAUAUAUUAUAUGCCAAUAUCUUGUGAUGUGAGUUGUGUUUGCAUGAUACAUGAUGAGUUGUGAGUAUGACCUAAAAUCCUAAUGGUUGUAUGUGCUAGAAGUCUUGAUGUCCAAUGACUAAGUUUUCCUCAAUGGUAUAGUAUGUUAAUUAGAGUUGUUGAUGAUGAUGCAUAUUAAAUGUGACUAAGUGUGACUAAGUAUGUUGGUUUUAAAUGACAAAUCUAAAACUAAAUUAUUGAUGUAUUGGUAGCUUAUUUAUGCCAUGAAAUGUACCUUUGAAGUUAUGUUUAAGUAGGUGCAAAUGAGGGUAACAAAUGGUUGGGAAAAAUAAUCAAUUUCUCAGCCACACGAGUAGAGACACGGCCGCGUGUCUCAGCCGUGUAGAGGACACGACCUAGCACAUGGGCGUGUGACCCUCCUAAACAUGAAAAUUUUCUUAGUGUUCCAAAGUUUUCGGUUUAGUCUCGAACCAAUUCCAAUGUAUGUUUAGAGCCUCGUAUGCCCUUAUAAGGGACGAUAUGCAUGUGUAUAGAUAGUUUUAAACAAAAUGAAAAUUUUAUGGCCUGGUUUUGUAUGACUACUUGUGUUCAAGACCGGUAAUGCCUCGUAUCCUGUUCCGGCAUCGGACACAGGUAAGGGGUGUUACAGAUAGAGAUCCCUAGUUUACAUCUCGAUUCUAGAACAAGUUGCAAGAAGCUCUGGGUACGCAGUUACAUUCAGUACCGCAUUCUAUCCUCAGACUGAUGGACAAUCCAAACGUGUGAUUCAGAUUUUAGAAGAUAUGCUUUGGUGCUGCGUGCUAAAAUUCGAAGGUAACUGGGAAAAGUAUCUGCCUUUAGUUGAAUUUGCAUAUAAUAAUAGUUAUCAGUCGAGCAUUAGAAUGGCACCGUAUGUAGCUCUAUAUGGUCGCAAAUGUGAAAAUCCAUUGUAUUGGACUAAGCAUAGUGAGAAAAAGAUACACGGAGUUGAUUUCAUCCGUGAGACUGAAAAAAAGGUGAAAGUGAUUUGGGACAGCUUGAAAGCAGCCUCUGAUUGUCAAAAAUCUUAUGCUGAUAUUAAACGAAAAGAGAUAGAAUUUCAAGUUGGUAACAAGGUAUUUUUGAAAGUAUCACAUUGGAAGAAAGUUCUCCAGUUUGGCCGUAAAUGAAAACUGAGCUCACGAUUCAUCGGACCAUAUGAGAUCAGUGAAAGGAUCGGGCCUGUAGCAUACCGAUUAGCAUUAUCACCAGAGCUUGAUAGAAUUCAUAAUGUUUUCCAUGUGUCUAUGUUACGGCGGUAUCGGUCAGAUCCUUCACAUGUUAUUUCUCUGACAGAAGUUGAGAUUUUGCCUGACAUGACUUAUAGUGAGGAACUGGUCAAAAUUUUGGCACGUGAGACAAAAGAGUUAAGAAAUAAAAGGGUAGCUUUAAAAAGGUUCUUUGGCAACGACAUGGGAUUGAAGAAGCUACCUGGGAACUGAAGGAAACAAUGAGAAAGAAAUAUUUGAACCUCUUUACUGGUUAGAUUUUUGAGGAUGAAAAUCUUUUAGGGGGAGAGUUGUAACAGCCCGUUUUCAGUAAAAUCGAAACAGUGGUUUCGGGACCACAAAUCCGAAUCAGGAAGAAAAUUUAUUUUAAUAUUAUUGUAUGGUUUGCAUUAUGAUAGGAAAGAUGUAUGAAAAUUUUGAUAAGAAAAUUUUACUGAUUUCAUGUUUAAUUGUCAAUAAGGACCAAAUUGCAUAAAGUGCAAAAGUUGAAUUCUAGUUGCUAAAAGGAUUAAAUAGCUAUGAAAUUCAAAAUUUGAGGUCCUUACAAGGCAAAUAGACCAUUAAGAGAAGUUAAUAGAUAUUUAUGAUGAUUCAUCCAUGGGAAUUUAAGAAAAAAAGGACUAAAUUGGAAAGUGGGAAAAAUAAAAGAUGAUAGUUAAUUAAAAGAUAAAAAUAUCAUUUUAUAUCAUCAUCUUCCCUAAAAUUUUCUAUAGAAACCCUAGCUAAGAGGCAGAACUUCAAGCAAGCUUAAUUGGGUAAGUAAUCAUGUCUAGUUUUUAGAAAUUUUUACAUUUUUUAUAUUGUAAUAACUUAAUCUAUCUAUUUUGGGGAUCAAUUUGCAAAGUUAUAAAAGUAUUAAAAUUUUUCCAUGGAUGAGUAUGCUGAAAUUUUGAAAUUUAUGGUAGUAAAUGAAAGGUUUUUGGUAGAUAAAAACUAUUGUAAAAGAAAUUUUCAUGAAAUUGUGAUUUAGGGAUGUAAAUGAAAAGAUGUAAAAUUCAUGGAAAAAUUCUACAUUUUGUGAAAUACAUGGACUGUUAUUGUUAUAUGAAAAAUUUGGCUAGGCUUGGAAUAAGGAUUAAAUUGCAUGAAUUUUAUUUUCCAAGCAUAGAGACAGAAUCGUCAUUUAUUAAAAGUAUAGGGGCAAAAUGGUAAUUUUUCCUAGGAUGUGAAUCGGAUUGAAUUGAAUAUGAAAUGUGUUAAAUUGAUGUUAAAUUCAUUUAUAUGGAUCCGGAAAGAUCAAAUUAAGAGUUAGGUCGAGGAAAAUAAAAAAUAUCAGAUUAGUAGAUUUUCGUAUAUGAGCAAGUGACAAGGUAAGCUCGUGUAACUAAAUUGUGUAAAUUUAUAUGUUGGAAUUAAAUAUUAUUUAUGUGAAUUGAAUAAUUUCCAAGUAUAUAAAAUUGAUUAAAUAUCCAAAAAUGUCCGAUAAAUGUUAAGUUUCGUUUGAACAAAUGAAAAUCGAUGGAUACAAGUUUCCCGUAUUGGUUGUAGUCCUGUAUAUGUUGCGGACACAACACAACUCGAAAGAGUGUCCUGUUAUUAGCCCUCUCGAGCUUCCCGUUAUAUUGUUCUUGCGAGCUUCCUAUUAAUAGCUCUUCGGAGCAUCCCGAUUGGUUGUGAUCCUAUAUGUGUUGUGGACACACCACAGCUCUUAUUAGCUUCCCGAUUAUGGCUCUUUGUGAGCUUCCUGAUAAGGCUCACUUGAACUUCAAGCUAUCCCGAUUAUGGCCCUUUGUGAGCUUCCUGUUAAUGGCUCUUCGGAGCUACCCCGAUAUUGGCUAACAUGAGCAUCCUGAAUAUGGCUUUUAUGAGCUUCCCUUUAUAAAGCUCGGAUAAGCUUCCCAUUUCAUGGUUCACAUGAGCUUCCCGUUAUAUGGCUCAAGAGAGUACUUCCCAUUUAAGUGUUCUUAUGAACAGUCUCGAAUAUGAAUUGACGAAUUACAGAUUCGUACACUUUAUGUGUACUACCCGAUGUCCAUCUAUAUUUCAUAAGGUUCAAUGAGCAAAGUUCUAAUAUAAGUUAAGAUAAGGUCUGAAUGAAUUAUUAAUUGUAUCUACCUGAAAAUAUAUGGAAAUGUUUAUACGAUGAGCUCAUCUCUGUUACUUACUUGAAAUGUAUUUGAAAUUUAUGACUAACUUGCUUGAGGAUGUAUAUGUGUUGGGUUAUUGAUUAAUUUGAUUUGGAUGUACUUUGUAUGCUUAAUUUAAAUUAAUAUGAAUGGUAAGUCAAUUUCCCGUUAUACGAACUUACUAAGCAAAAUAUGCUUACUCUAUUUUAUUUCCUCUGUUUUAUAGUACUUGGAAGCUCGUGAAGGUUGGAACUUAGUCGGAGACACAUCACACUAUCCCUCAGACUUUUCGGUAUAUAAAGCAAGCUAACUUUUAGUAUAAUGGCAUGUAUAAGCUAAGUUAGGCAUAUUGAUGAAAUAUUUUGGUUGUAACUAGCCAUUGGAAUGGCUAGUGUAAGGCUUAAUUUUAUGUAAUUAUAUAAUGCCUUAACAAGUUUGAUGUGUGAUAAAAUGGUGAUAUGACGGGAAGUAUACAAACCUAUUGAUGACUGGUUUUGGAUUAGCAUAAUUUAUAAAGUAUGUCUAUAAGCAUAAAGGUGUUUUUGGUAAGUUUAACACUUGAAUAUGAGAUAAUAUGUCAUGCAUAAAAUUUGGUAUUGACAUUAAUUUGAGGGUUGUGAAUUGGCUUGUGAAUGUGUUUGGAUGAUGUUGUAAGUGAAAGGCAAAUUGGGUGAGAAAAGUGACCUGAAAAUGGCUUAUUUUUCGUCCACACGGGCAGAGACACAGGCGUGUGUCUCAGCCGUGUGUGACACACGGCCAUGAGCACAGGCGUGUGGUUUGGCCAAGUGUCCCUUGCACAUAAUUUUUAAAAAUUAAAUUGUCCAGACGGCAUAGCACACGGGCGUGUGGCUAGCCGUGUGACCCAAUUCAUAGAGUUACAUGGGUAUGGAAACGGGCUGGGACACGGCCAUGUGCCUCACAUCGAAUGCCCACACGGCCUGGGACAAGGACGUGUCACUUGGCCAUGUGAGCCACACGGCCUGGCCAUACGCACUUAAGAAAAGUUUUGAAAUUUCACGAAAAAUUCUCCGAGUUCCCGAUUUAGUCCCGACUUGUUUCAAAUGCAUAAAUUGAGCCUCGGCGGUCCACUUAAGGGGCAAUAUGAUUGUUUGCGGAUAUGAAUAGUAAAUGACAUAAAUUAAGUGCAUUUGUUCUAUAAACUCUGGUAAUGCUCUGUAACUCUGUUCUAACGACAGAUAUGGGUUAGGGGUGUUACAAUCCUGCCAAAUUGAGAUGUUUUCACCAUUACCAACUCUCUAGGUCAUACCAUCUUGCAAGACUUUCCUUGUUGCCCAAAUGCUUCGCUAGGUAUAAAAAAGGAAGUUUCCAAACUCUGCUUGCAUAAGUCUGUAGGAGGAUAAUGUUUAGCCUUUAAUGUCAUUGCAAGUAACGAAUCAAGAUACUCUAAUAAUCAACAGCAUUGUUUUGCGAAAAGGGCCACAUUAAACUUGGGCAAACUACGAAAAACCAUCCCACCAUCCACAUUUAACGCGUAUAACUUACUCCAUUUGCACCAAUGCAUUCCCGGUUCCCCUUCUGUUUUUGCCACCAAAAUUUGCAAAUAAUUUGCUCCAUUUCAAAGUAUAAAGAAUUUGGUAAAAUAAAACACGACAUAACAUAGGUUGGGAUUGCUUGUAACACACUUUUAAUAAAUACCUCUUGCCCACCCUGUGACAGUGCCUUAACGAACCAAUUAUUAACACGUUUUGCCAUUCUAUCCCUUAAGCCCUGAAAACUUAUCCUCUUUUGUUUUCCGACCAUAUUCGACAAACCUAGAUACUUUUUGGUUUCUCCAAACAUCUUACCUGCAAAGUUCGCAAAAUCAAAUCUCUGUCUCGUCUUGGACUAUUAGAACUAAAAAGUAAAGCGGAUUUAUCCAAAUUAGCCUUUUGUCCUGACAUGAACUCAUAGUUCUUCAAAAUGUCUUUCAACUCAUUUACCCCUCACGUUGUAACCUCCCCGAACAAAAUGCAACCAUCUGCAAAAAGUAGAUGUGUAAUCUCUGAGCCCCAUCUAUUUACCUUCACUUCUUUUAUUUUUCUUUCCUUUCUCGUCAUUCUCAUUAACGGUGAAAGUCAUUCCCCAUAUAUUAAAAACAUAUAAGGACUAAAAGGGUCGCCUUGUCUUAGUCCUCUGGUCGGUUUAAAUUUCUUUCCUCUUUCUCCAUUUAAACAAACCGAAUAAGAAAAAAAAUUAUACAUCUCAUUAUGAAAUUAAUCCAUCUCACAUCAAAUCCCAUUCUUACCAUCAUCUUUUGUAAAAAUCCCCAUUCCACUCUGCCAUAUACUUUGCUCAUAUCGAGUUUAAGCGUAAAUGAGCUUGUUUUUCCCACUCUCUUUUGCUUGAGUAUAUGCAAAAUCUCAUAAGCAAUGAGUACAUUAUCGAUAAUCAUUCUACCUUGUACAAACGCACUUUGUGCUUUAUCAAUGCAGACAUCAAGCAUUCGAAAACGGUUAGCCACUACUUUUAAGAUGAUUUUGUAUAAAACAAAACAAAGGCUAAUUGGUCGAAAGCCUAUUAAAUUACUUGGUCUAGAAGUUUUCAGAAUUAGCACAACGAGUGUAGAGUUAAUAUCUUUCAGCGGCUCUCUUGUGUUGAGAAUGUUAAGAUAGAACUCCCUCAAUUCUUUACCUAUGAUAUGCCAAAAAUUUUGAAAAAAUAGAGCAGGGAAUUCGUCCUUCCUUGUUGCCUUCAACGGGGCCAUCUCCUUUAAUCUUGAUAUGAUUUCCUCUAUAGAGUAGGCUGCCAUUAGCAUCUUGUUCAAGUAUUUCGUUAUGCACUUCUCAACUCCUUCAAGGCCCCGCAUCACUUCUCCCCUCCCAUCUGAUGUGAAAACAUUUGUUCUUUGUCUUUGUAAGGCAAACAUGUGAAAAAAAUUAUAUUUCGGUCCCUAUUUUUUAGCUAAUUUGUAACAGCCUGUUUUCAAUAAAAUCAAAAUAGUGGUUUCGAGACCACAAAUCUGAGUCAAAAAGAAAAUUUAUUUCAAUAUUAUUGCACGGUCUGCAUUGUGAUGGGAAUGACGUAUGAAAAUUUUGUUAAGAAAAUUUUACCGAUUUCAUGUUAAAUUGUUAGUAAGGACCAAAUUGCAUAAAAUGCAAAAGUUAAAUUCUAGUAGCUAGAAGGAUCAAAUAGCUUAGGAAUUUAAAACUUGAGGUCUUUAUAUAGCAAUUAAACCAUUAAAUGUAGUUAGUAGAUAAACAUGCUUAGUUAUCAAUGGAAAAUUAAAUAAAGAAAAUGAUGAAAUUGGAAAGAAAAAGAUGACAGGGUGAUAAAUAAUAAAAGAAAAGAAAAUAUCAUUUUAUCAUCAUCUUCCCCAAAUUUUCUAUGGAAACCCUAGCUAAGAGAAAGAAAUUCAAGCAAGCUUAAUUGGGUAAGUAAUCUUGUCCCAUUUUUAGUAAUUUUUAUAUUUCCGAGAUCGUAAUAACUUAAUUUAGCUAUUUUGGGAUUAAUUUGUAAAGUUAUCAAAGUAUUAAAAUUUUUCCAUGGAUGAGUAUGCUGAAAUUUUGAAAUUUAUGGUAGAAAACAAAAGGUUGUUGAUAGAUAAAUAACUUUUGUAAAGGAAAUUUUCAUGAAAUUGUGAUUUAGUACUAAAUUGAAAAUAUGUAAAAUUCAUGGAAAAUUUUUUAUUUUUGUGAAAUACAUGGGUUUUUGUUGAUAUAUUCGACUAGGCUUGGAAUAACAAUUAAUUGCAUGAAUUUCAUUUUCCGAGCCUGGGGAUGAAAUUGAAAUUAAUUAAAAGUAUAGGGGCGAAAUGGUACUUUUUCCUAAAAUGUGUAUUUGAUUGAAUUGAAUAUGAAUUGUAUUAAAUUGAGUUAAAUUUACUCGUACAGAUCCGAAUAUACGUAGUACGGAAUUGGAUCGACGAAAACAAAAAGUAUCGGAUUAAUAGAUUCUCGUAAAUGAACAAGUGUCGAGGUAAGUUCGUGUAACUAAAUUGUGUAUAUUUAUAUGUUUGAAUGAAAUGUUGUAUAUGUGAGUUGUGUAAUUGCUAUGUAUAUGACAAUUUGUCACAUUUCCGAAAAAACCCAAUAAAUAUUAAAUCCCGUUUGAAUAUAUGAAAUUUGAUUUGAUAUAGGGAUCCCGUAUUGGUUGUGGUCUUGCAUAUGUUGCGGACACACCAUAGCUCGAAAGAGCGUCCUGUUAUUAGCUCUUAUGAGCAUCCCGUUAUAUGGUUCUUGCGAGCUUCCUAUUAAUAGCUCUUCGGAGCAUCUCGAUUGGUGCUGAUCAUACAUGUGUUGUGGACACACCUUAGUUCUUAUGAGCAUCCCGAUAUAUGGCUCUUCAUGAGCUUCCCGUUAAAUGGCUCUUUGUGAGCUUCCUAAUAUAGCUCGCUUGAACUUCCCGAUAUAUGGCUAUCCGAAGUUCCCCGGUUAAUGGCUCUUCGGAGCUACCCGUUAUAGGCUCGCACGAGCUUCCUGAAUAUGGCUCUUAUGAGCUUCCUAUUUUGGCCUGGAUAAGCUUCACGUAUAUGUGCUUUUAUAAGCACUCCCAAAUAUGAGUUGUCGGAUUUACCAUAAUGUACACUUCAUGUGUACUGCCCAUGUAUCCAUCGAUAUUUUAAAUGAUUCAACAGGUAAAGUCUCCGGUAUAAGAUGAAAUAAAUUCAAGAUGAAAUAUUAUGAGAAAUACUUGAAAUACAAAUAUAUAAUAUGUACAUGUUCAUUGGAUGCUUGGAGUGAUAGACACAUGUAUGUGGAAAUGGAAUAUUGAUGAGCUCAUAUAUAUUUCUUGGUAUUUAUAUGAAUUACGUAACUAACAUGUUUGAUGAUGAUGUAUGUGUGUUUAGGUUAUUGAUUACAUUGAUUUGAAUGUACUAUGUAUGUUAUUUUAAAUGAAUAUGAAUGGUAAGUUAACUUCCAUUAUACGAACUUACUAAGCAUUAAAUGCUUACUCGGUUUUUCUUUCUUCUGUUUUAUAGUACUCGGAAGAUUGUAAAGGUUGGAACUUGGUCAGAGUCACAUCACACUAUCCCUCAGACUUCUCGGUAUAUAAAGCAAGCUAACUUUUGGUAUAAUGACAUGUAUAGGAUAAAUUAGGCCAAAUGAUGAAAUGUUUUGGUUGUAAUUAGCCAUUGGAAUGGCUAGUAAUGUUAUGUUUGAUAUAUAUAUGCAUGAGGUUGUAUUAUGUUUGGUCUGUGAGUGUACUUGAUUUUAUAUUUAGGUAUAAAUAUGCUUAAGCAAGAAUAUGAUCAAUUGAGCAAGUGGGAUGUUGAAUAAAUGUCAUGAUAUAUCAUGCAUAAGACUUGGUUUUGGUUUGAAUUGAGGGUUAUAAAUUGGCUUGUGAAUGUGCUUGGAUGAUGCUAUAGGUGAAAUGCAAAUUGGUGAGAAAAGUGGCCUUGAAAAUAGCCUAUUUUUCAUCUACACGGGCAGAGACACGGGCGUGUGUCUCAGCCGUGUGUGACACACAGCCAUGCGUACGAACAUGUGGUUGGAUGUGUGUACCCUGCACCUAAUUUUUUAAAAAUUUAAUUGUUCACACGGCCUAGCACACGGGCGUGUGUCUCAGUCGUGUGUGACACAUAGCCAUGCGCACGAGCGUGUGGUUUGGCCGUGUGUCCCCCUGCACCUAAUUUUUUGAAAAUUUAAUUGUUUACACAGCCUAGCACACGGGCUUGUGGCUGGCCGUGUGACCCAAGUCAGAGAGUUACAUGGGUAUGGACACGGGCUGGGACACGGUUGUGUGCCUCAUAUCGAAUGCCUAUACGACCUGAGACACGAGUGUGUCACUUGGCCGUGUGAGCCACAUGGCCUGACUACACGGGCGUGUGUCCCCUGUACCUUGGAAAAAUUGAGAUUUUGCGAAAAAUUCUCUGAGUACCCGGUUUAGUCCCAACCUAUUUCUAAUGCAUAAUUUAGGGCUUGAGGGCUUAAAUGAGGGACAAUAUGGUUGUAUGUGAUUGAUUUUUGAUACGAUUGACGAAUGAUGUUAAAUGUCUGUAUCUGAUCUGUAAAUUCUAGUAAUUUUCUGUAACCCUGUUCUGGCAACGGAUAUGAGUUAGGGGUGUUACACAAUUCACCAUUGCCCUUUGUUCCCAAUAUAAAUCCGUCUUGCCUAAGCUCCUCCAUUUGUAACAACCCUAUGUCGUAUCCGUCACCGAAAUAGGGUUUAAGAGUAUUACCAAAGUUUUCACAUCAAACUCAGAUAUUUUAUAUUACUUAACAUUCAUAUCAGAAAUUAAUUAUAAAUUAAUUUUAUUGUCGCUUAUAUGAGCCCUCAAGGCCUAAAACAUACAUUAGAGACAAGUCGGGACUAAAUUGAUAACUUAGAGAAAUUUUUACGAAACUUUAAAAAUUUUCCUAAAUGCAGGGGACACAUGCCCGUGUGGUCUCACACGGCCAAGUGACACACCCGUGUCUUAGGCCAUGUGGUAUUUGAAGUAGGGCACACGGCCGUGUCCCUAGCCCGUGUAACUCUCUGACUUGCAAUAUAUUUAAGUACAGAGGUUACACGACCAAGCCACACGCCCGUGUGCCAAGUUGUGUGAUCAGUUCUGAGCGUUCUGUUUUGAAAUUGUAAGAUGCAAGGGACAUACGGCAAGAACACACGUCCAUGUGCUAGGUCGUGUGUCGCACAUGGCUGAGACACACGCCCGUGUCUCUACCCGUGUGGACAAAAUAAAGUCAUUUCCAAGCCUUAUUCCUCAUCUAAUUUCACCUUCCACCUACAUAAACACUUAAACACAUUCCCAAUCCAAUACAAGACAUUUAAAUCAAGCCAAAACCAAGUCAUAUACAUGAUAUUUUCAUUACAUGUAAUCAUAAACUCUAUCUUACCUAAUUGAUCAAAUUCACAUAUAUGCAUAUUUUACCAAAUAUGCUAUCUUGAUCCAUUCAUCCAUGUACUUAUCAUCAUUUGACAAUUUCAAACACACAUCAAGUAUAUUAAGACUAUUUACACAUCAAAACAUACCAAACAUAACCUUUUAAAUGGCUAUUUACAACCAAAAUAUGUAUAUGCCAUUAAUGGCCAAGUUAACCUAUACAUGCCAUUAUAACCAAAAUUAGUUUCAUACUUGUAGCGAAAAUGGGCUGGUGGAUAGUGUAAGUGAUCUUUGCCAAGCUUCCAAACCAACGAACUUUUGAGUACUAUAAAAUAGAGGAAAUACAACUGAGUAAGCACUUAAUGCUUAGUAAGUUCGUAUAACGGGAAAUUAUCUUACCAUUCAUUUACUCAUACAAUAAACAUGCAUAAUACAUCCAAAUAAAUUUGGCAAUUAGCCUAACACACAUAACCUCAACAAACAUUUUAGUCAUGUAUUUCAUGUGAAUAACAAGAACAAGGAUGAGCUCAUCAGGUAUCAAGUUUCCAAGUAUUUCAUGUAUAUACAAAUAAUAGUUUCAUUUUGAUUUCACAUGUUCUCAUGUCAGAAUUUCACUCGUUGAAUCAUUUAAAAUCCCGAUGGAUACUUGGGUAGUACACUUGAAGUGUAUAAUACUAUAAAUCUGUCAAUUCAUAUCCGAGAGUGCUUUUAUAAGCACUUAAACAGAAAGCUCUCUCUCAAGCACUAUAACGAGAAGAUCAUUGAGCCUUGUAACGGGAAGCUUAUCUGGGCAAUAUAACAAGAAGUUCACAAAGAGCCUAUAACGGGUAACUCUGAAGAGCAAUUAACGGGUAGCUCCGAAGAGCAAUUAACGGGUAGCACCAGAUAGCCAUAUAACGGGAAGUUCAUGCAAACACUAACAAGAAGUUCAAGCGAGCACUAAAGGGAAGCUCUCAAAGAGCCUUUAAUCGGGAAGCUCAUGAAGAGCCAUAUAAUGGGAUGCUCAUAAGAGUUGUGGUGUACCCACAACACAUGUAGGGUCAUAACCGAUCAGGAUGCUCCGAAGAGCAUUUAACGGGAAGCUCGCAAGAACACUAUAACGUAAAGCUUGAGAGGGCUUGUAACGGGACGCUCUUUCGAGCUACAGUAAGUCCGCAACAUAUGCAGGACCACUACCAUUUCAGGAAACAGAACCCUGUAUCCAAUCGAAUUUCAUUCAUUCAAACGUGAUUUAAAAUUUAUCAGGUAUUUUCUGGAUAUGUGAUCAGAUUUCAUAUACAUGGUCAAUACACAAUUCACAUACAAAUCAUUCAAAUAAAUUCAAACAUAUAAUUACACAAUUAAGUUACACGAACUUACCAUGACAAAUGUUCGUGAAUCGUAAUCUACUAAUCCGGUACUUUUUCUUUUCCUCGAUCUAAUUCUGUAUUUUGUCUUUCUGGAUCUAUACGAGUAAAUUUAAUAUCAAUUUAACACAAUUUACAUUCAAUUCAAUCCAAGUCACAUCUUAGGCAAAAUUACCAUUUUUCCCCUAUACUUUUAAUUAAUGACGAUUUCAUCCCUAGGCUCGGAAAAUGAAAUUCAUGCAAUUUAAAUCCUUAUCCCAAGCCUAUAUAUUUUAAAAUAUAUCAAUAGAAGCCCAUGAAUUCAAUGAAAUUUUUAUUUUUCCAUGAAUUCAACAAUUUUUCAAUUUAAUCCCUAAAUCAUGAUUUUAUCCAAAAUCCUUUAAUAAAAUACCUUUAAAUAUCCAUCAACAUCUCAAUUUCAUCAUAUAAUAACUAAAAUCAUAUAAACUUAUCAAUGGUAUCUUCCAAAACUUUCAAUAAAAUCAAAAACUAAUGAAUGGUUAGUUGGACCUAAUUGUAAAAGUCCCAAAACAUAAAAAUUUCAAGGAAAGAACAAGAAUUAAACUUACAUGAAGAAAAUAUUGAAAAACCAGCUUAAACCCUCUUCAAUGGCUAUUUUAGAACUGGAAAAUGAUGAUGAAAAUGUCUAGAAUUUAAAUUUCCCUUUUAUUUCACUUAAAUUUGGUAAAAUUUAUAAUUUUGCCAUUAUUUCACAUCAGUUCAUUGAUUUUUCUAUGCUUAUGCCACCUCAACCAUCCCAUGUGGGUCCAAUUGCCCUUUUAGUCCUCCUUUAUUUACUAUUUAGGCAAUUUAAUCACUAUUUCUUUAAUUAGCAAGCUUUACACCUUUUUUAAUUUAGUCUUUUUUAAUUAAUUAACUACCAAAACGUUAAAAUUUUCUAACAAAACUUUAAUACUACUUUAAUGACACAUUGUAAAUAUUUAUAAAAAUAUUUAUGACUUAGUUUAUAGGACUGAAAUCUCGAUACCUCUUUUCUAAAUCACUUAACCUAAUAAAGCCUUUUAAAACACAAAUUACAAAUUCAAAAAUCUUUUAAAAACCACAUUUGGCUCGUAAAUAUUAAAUAAUAAAAAUUUGUGAGCUUAUUUUAUGGAUUUGGUGGUCUCGCACUACUAUUUUCGACAUCACUAAAAAUCGGACUGUUACACCAUUCUUACCUCAAGGUCCUUUAGCUUUCCAACUCUCAUCCUUCUCAAUUUACCCACCCACUUCAUUAAGCCUUUUCCCACCAUCUCAAGGCGCUUUGGAACACUCAAAUUACACUCUUCCCAUAGCUCUCGUAUCUCCUUUUCACACGAUUCCUCAAGUAACAACCACUAUUUAAAUUGAAAAUAAUACACUCGAGAUCUCUGAUUAUUAAGCUUUGUUUCCAAUAACAAAUGACAGUGAUUCGAAAUAAAGUGUCCCAAAUGUAUGACCCUGUACUUAGGAAAUACCUCACACCAUUCCAUAUUUACCAUAAAGCGAUCAAGAAUUUUCCUUAUAUUGUUGUUCUCAAAGUUACCCCUCUCCCAAGUAUACUAAGGACUGGUAAACCCAACAUCCUCCAAUUGACAUUGAUCCAACGCUUCCCUGAAUGCUCUCAUUCUCUCCCCAUCUUUUAUCACGCCUCAUUUCUUCUCAAAAGAAUAUAAUAUUUCAUUAAAGUCCCCACCUAUUAUCCAUGGGUGCCUCGAGUUCUACGCUAAUGGCUUUAAUAGAUUCCAAGUUGAUUCCUUAAACCGAGUAGCAAGAGACCCAUAAAAACUUGUAAAUAUCCAUUCCCUUUCAAUGGCCUCAUCUUCCACCUUCAUAACAAUGUGAUUUUUUUUGUAAAACUCUUUAAACUAACUUUGCUUCCUUCCAUCCAUCUUAAACUCAACUUUCCUCUCGUACCCUCUGUCGGGACGUCAAUCCAAUUGUGGUAACCACAUCUUUGCCUAACUUGUUCCAUUCUUUUGCUAUCAAGUUUGGUCUCCAUCAAAAAGACCAUUUGGGGACAUUUGGCUUUCAGCACAUGCUGAAACCUUCUGCAAGUCCGAUGACUCCCCAAUUCUCGGACAUUCCAGCAUAAGAUUUUUAUUGCUACCGGUCAGCUGACCUUUUGGCGGCUAUCGAUAUUUUUGGUUUAUUGACUAACUCUUGAUCCCUCGAGCAUUCUAUUGAAUCUGUUACCUCCUCCAAAUUUGGAUGUCCCACUCUCUGUCUCUUCUUUCCUUCCAUCUCCGCUAAUAGACUGUCUUUUUCCUCUUGUGUUCUCAAAAUUUCCUUUUAAUCUCCCAUGUACAAAUCUCCUCCCCCUCAACUCUCACUUUUUUUUCCUUUCAAAUUAAAACCCAAAAUUGGAUUCACAUGUUACCUCCGUCAGAUUUUGGAUUCAUCUAUUCAUAUUCCUUACUUCCAUCGGUUUACGUAAUCUUUCACAACUUACUUCCUUGCAACCUACUACUAAUAUCCUCUCUAAGCCAUACGCUUAUGGGUAAAUUUGAUCUCUUGUCUUGCACCCUCAAAGAUGUAUCCCAUUCUAAUUCUAAGUCUUGCCUUUUGCUUUUUACUCGUAAAGGACAGAAACUGUCCCCAUGACCUAAUCGACCACAUAAGAAACAAAAAAAAGUUAACUUUUCAUAUUUAAAUCUUACAUAAAACUAUUUUCCAUUCAGUGUUAUUAAUUUCUUCCUUCUCUUCAAUGGAACCCUCACAUCCACCAAAAAUCGUAUUCUUAUGUAACUUCAAUAUUCCUUCCCUAUUUGUCUUGCAUCAUAUUCAAUAAAAUACCCAAUAAAAUCACCAAAUUGCUUAUCAUCUCUGACAUCAUACCUGGCAAUAAAUCAUGAAUUUGUACCCAGAAGAAAGAAUAAGUCAAUGGUACCUCUAUUGGGCCCUUAUCUUCCAAAAGCCUGCGAAAAACCAGCAGGUGGUUAUUAAAGGUCCAUGGUGCCCCCUUUAUCACUCUAUCAAUGUCCACCUAUUGAAAGAAUUUAAAUAAAAAUCUUUUCUCCCCCAAAUCUAAGAUAAUUAUGCCACCAAUUGGGUGCCAAACAUUAGCCAAUGUGUUUUUCAUGGCUUGGAAGUUAACCAAUCUCACUGUCAAGAAACACCCCACCAGACAAAAUUCUUGUUCCACCUAAUCUUCCACAUCCUCAUCCACCACCUAGAUCUCCUCUUCUCCAUUAUGAAUUCUCAAAUUCGCUAAAUCGUCCUCCAUCACAUUAAUUCGACAAUCCCCCAAGAUCAAACAAAACGUUCUUAUGUUUAAUUACACCCUUAACUCCCAAGUUCCAAUCCUUAAUUAACCAGAAACAAGAGUCCAAAAAAUGCACCUGCCAACCCUAGCAAACCUAAUUAAAAAGAACUGCCAUUGCAGCAGAGAAAAAAGAGAUUUGGUUGACAAUACGAAUUUUUUCCUCAAUUAUUUUUAAUAGUUUUGGAGUUGAUACUUAUAAUAAUAAAAUAUAUAGAUUUAGAUGAUAUAUAAAUUUAAGGCUAUACAAAUAUGUAGAUUACCAAGGAUUCCUCCAUGGCAGUUAAGGAGUAUUUGGUUUAAGUAAUGUGAGGUUUUCGUGAGUAAUAUGAGAUUUGGAUAUAACAUUUUCAUGUUUGGAUUUGAAAUAUUAUAUUAAAACGGUACAUUUUCAAUAAUGUUAAAAUUUAGAAUAAAAUAAUAAUCUUAGAGCUACCUCUUCUUUAGCUAAUUUCCAUUUUAUGAUAAUUUUAUCUCUCCUUUUUAAGAAAUUAUUUUAUGAACUAUUCUCACCACAUCAUCCAUGGUUUUUUUCCAAUUAUUUAAUGACAUUUCAACAAUUUUUUCAUGUCAUUGACAUAAAAUUUUGGUAAUUUUUUAUCCUAAACUCCAAACUCCGAACUCGGACCUUGAACCUCGAACCCGAACCCUAAACCCAAGUUCAUGUUUGAGGUUUAGGUUUUGGGUUUGGAGUAAAAAAUUACCAAAAUUAUGUGUCAAUGACAUGAAAAAAAUUACUAAAAUGUAAUUAAAUAAUUGAAAAAAGAUUAUAGAUGAUAUGGUGGGAAGGGUCCAUGAAAUAAUUUCUCCUUUUUUAUUUUAUAUUUUGUUAACUUUACCCUUCAAACCAAAGAAAAUAUAAUGUUUUAUUAAAAGAAAAACUUAUGUUUCUCUUAUAUUUCCAUGGGUAUAUUUUUUUUAAUAAUUGAGAUCAACUUUAAAUAUCUAUAUUAUCCAUGUAAUUACAAUGAUUAGUUGCUUUUUUAUUUUGGAUUAUUAGAAUAAAUAAUUUUAUUUCCUUAAGUUAUUCAAACUUAGAGCUGCUUGUGGGUCAAACCACCCGUAUAGGUUCAAAGGCUUGCUAAAAAAGUUAGAGAAUUUGGUUAAAAAUACAAGACUUGAAAAACGAGCUUGAUUAAAAAUUUAGGCUCAUUUUCUAUAUGGGUCAGCCAUUGGGUAAAAUUUUUGGCUUAAGCCUAAGCCCAAUUCAGCCUGAAUAUAUUAUAUUAUAAAAAUUAAUAAUUAUAUUGAAUCACUAACCUAAAACUAUUAAACUCAUUAUUCAAAACUUAAAAAAAUCUACCCAACUAAGGGUGAGUUUGGAUGGGUGAUGCGUUUACCUGUGAUUAGUGUAAAAACAAUAGUGGUGGUGAGAUUAGAUAUUGUAACAUGAGACAAAAAGUAAACUAAACGCACCGCACAACAUCGUACCCAAUCAUCCAUCUAAAUCCACCCUAAAUAACCCAAUAAAAAAUAUAAAAUUUUAAAAAUUAUAUUUAAUACAGUAAAAUAUUUAUAUAUUUAUUUGUGUUUUUUAAUAUAAUAAAAAAUUUAUUAUAUUUGGUGUUAUGUUACAUGAUAUGGUCUAAUCGCAAUUAUUUUGUUUGGAAAGGGGAAGAUGUGGGCAUGACAUCAGUCGUUAGAGUUGUUGAUGCUUUUUGGACCCAUUGGUAGUAGUCAAUGGGGGGUGUUUGCUGUGACUGAUGCGAGUGGUGACUGGGACGGAGUGACUCGUGGUUGAGGAAUGGCUGGUUCGGCACCUUUGGAAGGUGGUCUGUUAAAAUGUAAUGUAAUUUUUGCCUGUUUCUAGCAAGAGGGAGCUACGAGGUAUGCUGCCAUAAUUUGGGACUCUACGGGCUAUGUGCUUAAAAGUUUUUCAGGUUUUAUUUAUGCUUGUUUUAGUCCUUCCAUAGUUGAAGCCUAAAACUUUUGCCAUUAGGGAGGGCCUUGUCAUGGUUAAAAUCUUUUGCCUUCAAUAAUGUUAUAGUUGAGUUGGAUUGCCUGCUUGUAAUUUCGGAUUUGUCACGCUUAUCAUCUAAUUUUUUUGAACUAGGUGUGUUGUUACUUGUUUGUUUAUUAAUGAAGAAUAAGUUUAAACACGUCCUUUUGUUGGACUUAUCCGUAUGCCAACAAGACGGUUCAUUCCUUAGCCCGAGCGGCUUUGUUAUAUGCAAACCACAUAGAAUGGGAUGGUUUUCCCACCGUUUCUUUUAAUGGGGAUUUUUUUGUUUUUAAUUAAAGAUAGUUUGCUUGGGGAGUACGGAUGAUAGGUUCAAGUGUGCGGAGUAAACCUGUUAACUCGGAUUUUAAUGAAGUAUCACACAUAAUAUUUAAUCUUAAGUUCAUUUAAUUCAUACAAAAUUCCUUUGAUUCCUUUGAUUUUUACAAAAAAACUAAAUUUGUUUAAUUCGAACACAAUUCAUAAUUAAUGUAACAUGUGUAGAUGGUAUGUUAAUAAUUUUUAAAAAUGUUUCAAUUUCUUUCUUUGUAUACGCUAAAAAAAAAA